UUUUUUUUGGUCGAACCAGUGGGGGCACGCUGAGUGCACCCACUGGGUGUAGUCCCCGAGACUACUGUCGAAUGUUUUUGAUUCGGUUGUGGUCUUAGAAACGUUAUCAUUGUCUCUUAGUUACUCGGAAGCAACUUAUCUUGGACGUCUGUCGACUGAUUUUCCUUUUUACAGAAAUCUUGCGAACUUGUAGCUUGCUAUACUGAGUUGGAGAAUCAGCAGAUCCAGCUCAACCUUAACUUGAAGCUUGCUCAGGAGAAUUUGAGGAAGGCGCAAGAAGAAGCGAAAUGUAUGGCUGGUGAGGUUCUCUAUUCUUAACGGGUGGCUUUUCUUUCUUCUCCAUUCUUGAUGUUGGUUCCACUCGACGCGCCACAGAUAAACUGGAGGAAGCUCUGAAGAAGAAGGACCAAGACCUUGCAGAGGCACAGAAGGAGGCCUCAAGCAAAACGAAGCUUGCAGAGGAGAAAUUGGCUUCGGUCGGAGCUCUUGAACAGGAGAACUCCAGACUGAAAACCGCUCUCGAGACAGCUAAUCGAGAUGCCAGUCGACUGAAGAAGGAGAAGAUGGCUCUGCACGACAAGGCGGGUGAGCUGGUGGGGAAGGUAAAAGAUCUGGAAGCUUAUCUCGGUGGACUUGCCAAGAAGUUGUUUGUCAUGCUCGAAGGUAAUUACUCUGCCCCGACUGUCUUGCAGUUUGCCGAGCCUACAUAGGGCCACUGUCUUACUCUUGAAUCGUGUUUGCAGAAUUCUGUCAGAACUUUGAAGAGGAGACUAGUCGAGUGGAGCCAAGCUUGGACCCUGUUAACUCUCUUGUGAAGGACGAGGCUGCCAUGAACGUGCUCCGACUGGAGUCUCAUGUUGCCAGCGUCGUUGAUUAUCUGGCUUGGCUGAAAGUUGCAAUGUCGCGGAUCAACACAUCACUCUGGCCUGGGACGACGCUUCAGAACGACCUCGAGUCUCUGAUGGCUCGACUUAACGAAGUCUCAGGUCGAGUGGCGGAAUGGAAGAAAUCUUCUGCUAGAUGUGGUGCUGAUGUCGCUCUGUCUCUGGUCCGCGUCCAUUGCAAGGAGGCGCGAGAAGAAAAGCUGGCGGCCAUCCAAGUUGCCAAUACCAGGAAGCACAGCUUUCAAGACUUCAUGGAGACCUUCAUCGCUGCUGCCACCCGCAUUGCUGAUGGGAUCGACUUGGAUGAGUUCGUCGCCCCUUCCAGUCCUCCUCCCGAGGAGUGAAAAACUUUGAAUUUACCUCGGGAUGCCGAGUGGAUUUGUAACCGUUUAAACUCCGCCGAGUCGAGGGCUCGAGUACUUUGAGGUCUGGGACCUUCUGGGCUUUUUCUGAACUUGAUUUCUCGUUGGAUAUCUUCAUGUUUUGAUUCGUCGAGUGGAACUUGAUCUUCACUUGGAAUAAUCUUGUAUUUGCGACGCAGCUCCGAGGGAGAAGGUACCGGUCGACUCGCGGAUUGGGUCGAGUCUUGUACUUAGGCGAGCAUUGGGCUAUAGCUAAGCCCCCGAGUGGGAGGUUGGCUCUCCACUCGGUAGGAUUUUUAAACACUUAGGCGAGCACUGGGCUGCAGCUAAGCCCCCGAGUGGGAGGUUUGCUCUCCACUCGGUAGGAUUUUUUCAAACUUAGGCGAGUGCCGGACUUCAGCUAAGUCUCUAGGCGAGAGAACUUAGGCGAGUGCUGGACUGCAGCUAAGCCCCCGAGUGGGAGGAUCUCUCUCCACUCGGUAGGAUUUUUUCAAACUUAGGCGAGUGCCGGACUGCAGCUAAGUCUCUAGGCGAGAGAACUUAGGCGAGUGCUGGACUGCAGCUAAGCCCCCGAGUGGGAGGAUCGCUCUCCACUCGGUAGGAUUUUUUCAAACUUAGGCGAGUGCCNNNNNNNNNNNNNNNNNNNNNNNNNNNNNNNNNNNNNNNNNNNNNNNNNNNNNNNNNNNNNNNNNNNNNNNNNNNNNNNNNNNNNNNNNNNNNNNNNNNNNNNNNNNNNNNNNNNNNNNNNNNNNNNNNNNNNNNNNNNNNNNNNNNNNNNNNNNNNNNNNNNNNNNNNNNNNNNNNNNNNNNNNNNGCGAGUGCCGGACUGCAGCUAAGUCUCUAGGCGAGAGAACUUAGGCGAGUGCUGGACUGCAGCUAAGCCCCCGAGUGGGAGGUUUGCUCUCCACUCGGUAGGAUUUUUUUCAAACUUAGGUGAGUGCUGGACUGCAGCUAAGUCUCUAGGCGAGAGAACUUAGGCGAGUGCUGGACUGCAGCUAAGCCCCCGAGUGGGAGGAUCGCUCUCCACUCGGUAGGAUUUUUUCAAACUUAGGCGAGUGCCGGACUGCAGCUAAGUCUCUAGGCGAGGGAACUUAGGCGAGUGCUGGACUGCAGCUAAGCCCCCGAGUGGGAGGAUCGCUCUCCACUCGGUAGGAUUUUUUCAAACUUAGGCGAAACGGAUUCGCAGCUAAGUCACCCACUGGGGGAUUCCGUAUGUAAACAAAAGUGACAACAAUUAAUGGAACACUCUUGCCUUUGAUAAAAAUGAACUGCAGGAAUUUUUCUUAUUACAUCUCGUCCAAGGGAGAGCUCAAGUGUAAAAGGGGCGGAGUAGUUCCGCAUUCCAAGCUCGAGGCUCGUCGACCUGGUGAUCAACAUUGUAGAGGUGAUACGCUCCAUUGUGGAGGACUCUGGUGAUGAUGAAGGGGCCUUCCCAAGUAGGUGCAAGCUUGUGUGGUUUCUGUUGAUCCACUCGGAGGACCAAAUCUCCUUCUUGGAAGGCUCGACUCUUCACAUUCCGGGCGUGGAAUCGACACAAGUCUUGCUGAUAAAUGGUCGAUCUGAUCAUGGCCAUCUCCCUCUCUUCUUCUAGGAGGUCGACUGCGUCUUGUCGGGCCUGUUCUGCUUCAUCUUCGGUGUAAAGCUCGACUCGGGGCGCGUUGUGAAGAAGAUCACUUGGCAGAACCGCUUCGGCUCCAUAGACCAGAAAGAAUGGAGUUCUUCCAGUCGACCGGUUAGGGGUGGUCCUCAAUCCCCACAGAACUGACGGAAGCUCGUCGACCCAAGCACCUGCCGCGUGCUUGAGAUCACGCAUCAGCCGAGGCUUCAGUCCUUUGAGAAUCAAACCAUUUGCUCUUUCAGCUUGUCCAUUCGACUGAGGAUGUGCGACCGACGCGUAGUCGACUCGCGUGCCUUGAGAGGCGCAAAAAGCUCUGAACUGGUCCGAAUCGAAGUUUGACCCAUUGUCAGUGAUGAUGUUAUGAGGGACUCCAUAUCUGAAUGUUAGUCCUCUGACGAAACUGAUAGCAGUGCCAGCAUCGAAGUUCUUGAUAGGCUUGGCUUCAAUCCAUUUGGUGAACUUGUCGACUGCCACAAGCACAUGCGUGAAUCCGCUCCUGCCUGUUCUCAGUGGACCAACCAUGUCCAGUCCCCAGACAGCAAAGGGCCAGACGAGUGGAAUGGUCUUCAGGGCUGAUGCAGGCUUGUGUGACAUGUUGGAGUAGAACUGGCAGCCUCCACACUUGUCGACUAUCUCUUUUGCCAUCACAUUUGCUCUAGGCCAGUAAUAUCCCGCUCGGUAUGCUUUAGCCACAAUGGUCCGAGAGGACGCAUGGUAGCCACAGGUCCCCGAGUGGAUAUCAUCAAGGAUUAUCCGACCUUCUUCUGGUGUUAUGCACUUCUGACCGAUUCCAGUCAGGCUUUCUCUAUACAACUGCCCCUUUAUGACUGUGAAGGCCUUGGAUCGGCGGACGAUCUGUCGAGCCUCUUCCUCGUCUUCUGGGAGCUCUUUCCUUAGGAUAUACGCGAUGUACGGUAUCGUCCAGUCGGGAGUGAUUGCCAAGACUUCCAUGAUUAGGUCGACCAUAGCAGGAACUUCCACUUCAGUCGGAUCUGUGGCACUUUUCGGUUGUGGGGCUUCUUCUGUGAAAGGAUCCUCCUGGACUGACGGCGAGCGGAUGUGCUCCAGAAACACAUUGCUGGGAAUGGCUUCUCUCUUGGAGCCUAUUUUUGCCAGAUCAUCAGCUGCUUGGUUUUUCAGUCGGGGGAUGUGAUGAAGCUCUAACCCCUCGAAUUUCUUUUCUAGCUUUCUCACUGCAUUGCAAUAACCAGUCAUAGCUGGACUUCUGACGUCCCACUCCUUCAUCACCUGAUUAACCACCAAAUCUGAGUCGCCAUAGACCAUGAGGCGACGGACGCCGAGUGAAAUGGCCAUGCGCAACCCAUACAAAAGUGCUUCAUACUCUGCUUCAUUGUUGGAGGAAUCGAAGUGAAUCUGGAGAACAUAUAUGAGCUUAUCUCCUCGGGGGGAGACUAGAACUACCCCAGCACCGGAACCAUUCAGCAUCUUAGAUCCAUCGAAGAACAUGGUCCAGUGCUCCGAGUGAACUUGAGUCGGAAGUUGCUGUUCAAUCCACUCGGCGAUGAAAUCUGCGAUUGCUUGGGACUUGAUAGCCUUCUUUGCUCCAAACUUGAUAUCUAAGGGAAGGAGUUCAAUCACCCACUUGGCCACUCGACCAGUUGCAUCUCUGUUAUGCAGAAUCUCUGACAGUGGGGCGUCGCUGACGACUGUAAUGGAGUGGUCAGAGAAGUAAUGUGCAACCUUCUUGGUGGUCAUAUAAAUCCCAUAUACAAGCUUCUGGUAGUGAGGGUAUCUUUGUUUUGAAGGUGUCAAAACUUCAGACACAUAAUAGACUGGGCGCUGAACUCUGAAGGCCUUUCCUUCUUCUUCCCGCUCGACCGUAAGUACUGUGCUGACAACUUGCCCUGUGGCUGCAAUGUAAAGCAGCAGAGGCUCUUUGCUGAUUGGGGCGGCAAGCACCGGCUGGGUGGAGAGGAGAGCUUUGAGCUCUGCAAAUGCUGCAUCAGCUUUCGGAGUCCACUCAAACUUGUCAGACUUCUUCAUCAGUCAGUAAAGGGGCAACGCCUUUUCACCGAGACGAGAAAUGAAUCGACUUAGGGCGGCCAAGCAGCCUGUAAGCUUUUGGACGUCGUGCACGCGAACGGGACGCUUCAUCCGGAGUAUGGUGCCAACUUUUUCAGGAUUGGCGUCGAUCCCCCGUUCGGAAACGAGAAAACCGAGUAACUUUCCACCUGGAACUCCGAAUGUGCACUUUGAUGGAUUGAGCUUGAUAUCAUACCUCCUGAGGUUGGUAAAGGUUUCGGCAAGGUCAGCUCGCAGGUCGGAACCUUUGCGUGACUUGACCACAAUAUCAUCCAUGUAUGCCUCCACAUUCCGACUGAUUUGAGUGAGUAAACACUUCUGAAUCAUUCUCAUGAACGUGGCUCCGGCGUUCUUGAGGUCAAACGGCAUGGUGACAUAACAGAAGCAUCCGAAUGGGGUGAUGAAAGCUGUUUUGAUUUCGUCGGGUCCAUACAGACGGAUCUGAUGGUACCCGAAAUAAGCAUCUAGAAAAGACAAUCUCUCGCACCCCGCAGUCGAGUCGACUAUUUGGUCGAUGCGAGGGAGAGGAAAAUGAUCUUUCGGGCAGGCCCGAUUGAUAUGUUUGAAAUCAAUGCACAUGUGAAGUGACUUGUCCUUCUUGGGGACCAUGAUGACAUUGGCGAGCCACUCGGAGUGGUAAAUCUCUCGGAUAAACUCCGCUGCUAAGAGCCGAGCCACCUCCUCGCCAAUGGCUUUCCUCUUCUGGACGGCGGACCGUCGAAGAUGUUCUUUCACAGGCUUGAACUUCGGGUCGACUCGUAGACGGUGCUCAGCCAGCCCUCUGGGAACUCUAGGCAUGUCAGAGGGUUUCCAUGCGAAGAUGUCCUAGUUCUCACGGAGGAGCUGGAUGAGUGCUUCUUCCUAUUUGGAGUCAAGCGUCGUUGAGAUGUGAGUCGGGGCAGCAUCGGGGUCGGUCGGGUGAAUGUGGACUGUCUUUGUUUCACCGGACGACUGAAAAGCUGAUUCUGAAGCAGGCUUCUUGGCUCGUAGCAACUCGCUUGGAUCGGCAGUCUUUUGGUACUCUUGCAGCUCGACCACUGCCAUCUGAGCAUCUGCAAUCUUUGAGCCCUUCUGAAAGCACUCUUCCGCCUUCUUCUGAUUGCCUGUAACAGUGAUCACCCCUUUGGGGCCAGGCAUCUUCAGUUUGAGAUACACGUAACAUGGCCGGGCCAUGAAGCGUGCGUAAGCUGGCCUGCCCAAAAUGGCGUGAUAAGCACUUUGGAAGUCCACAACCUCGAAUGUCAACUUUUCCUUGCGGUAAUUCUUUGAAUCACCGAAAACCACAUCAAGAGCGAUCUGGCCGAGUGAUUGGGCUUUCUUCCCAGGAAUGACUCCGUGGAAACUCAUGUUACUGGUGCUGAGCCUGGACAUCGGAAUGCCCAUUCCUUUCAAUGUUUCAGCAUAUAGUAUGUUCAGGCCACUGCCACCAUCCAUCAGGACUUUAGUCAGUCGAGUGCCUUCAACAAUUGGGUCGACCACCAAAGCUUGCCUCCCAGGGGUGGCAAUGUGCGUCGGGUGAUCAGACUGGUCGAAUGUGAUGGCAGUCUGAGACCACUUCAGGUAACUGGGUAUUGCCGGGGCAACCAUGUUCACCUCUCGGUUAAUGACUUUCAGUCGACUUUUGCUUUCGACAUCAGCAAAAAUCAUCAGGGUGGAAUUGACUUGGGGGUAUCCAUCGUCACUGUCUUCCUUGUCCUCGACUCUGUCCAACUCUUUUUCCUUAUCCUUGGACUGCUUUCCUUGGAACUGCUGGAUCAGGAGCCGGCACUGUCGAGUGGUAUGCUUUGGGUAAAUAAAAUUACCCUCUUCAUCCUUCUUGGUGUGGAUGUGACAUGGCAGAUCCAAAACAUCAUUUCCGUCUUGAUCCUUGACUUUCUUGGCUUUCAGGGGCCUUUGGGUUUUCCCUUGAAAUUUCCCUGGGUUGCGGCCAGGGCCUCCCCAGGGGCGGCUGGCUCGGCCUUCGGCUUCUGCUUCCGACUGGAAUUGCCUCCGGUUUCCUGGGCGACUGCUUUCUGCUUGCCACUCCGGAGUCGAUCUUCAUCUUCUCCGUUAGCGUACUUGGUGGCAAUCUCCAUCAUCCGAUUCAGAGACAUCUCUCCAGUUCGACCGAACUUUAGAUUCAACUCUCUGUAUUUAACACCUUCCUUGAAGGCACAAACUGCUUGAUGGUUUGGCACAUUCUCAACCGAGUGAUGCAGCGUGAUCCACCUCUGGAUGUAUUCCCUCAGAGUUUCAUUCGGCUUCUGCACGCAAGACCGCAACUCUGUAAGGCCUGCAGGUCGCUUGCAUAUUCCUUCAAAGGUCGUGAUAAACACUCGGGAGAGGUCCUCCCAAGUGUAAAUGCUGCUGGGUGCUAACUGAUUUAGCCACGCUCUGGCCGAGCCCUCUAACAUGAGAGGCAAAUGCUUCAUGGCCACCUCAUCAUUGCCACCGCCAAUCUGUACAGCCACUCGGUAAUCUUCGAGCCAGGUGUCAGGCUUAGAUUCACCGGUGAACUUGCUGAUUCCAGUCGCCAGCCUGAAAUUGGGAGGAAUCACUGUGGCUCUGAUGGCUCGACUAAAACACUCUGGCCCUGAAGCACGCACUCCGCUGCUAGCAGGCGCAUCUCUAUUGUGGCCUUCUCGAUGAGCUCUGUUCCUGUCAACCAAACCUUGAACGAGGAUGAAUCUCGCAUCAAAGCCUGGGUCUCUGGAGUCGACUGGAAUCCUCUACCCAACACUAUGAGGGCGUCUGUCAUCUUGCCGUCGAGGCGCAUAUGACCCACUCCUCGGGGGAGGGGUUGGCACUCGAUGUUGAUCAUCACGGUCGAAUCGGUGAUCAUACUGCUCAUUCCUCUUGUACUGGUCACGCCGGUCACCACGUCCCUCAUGCCUCGGGGGCGAUCUCGGGCUGUGAGCCGACUCGACUGUAUCUGUUGCGACAGAUCGACUGUGGAUCCUAUUCCGCGACUGAGAGACAGCGGAAUUCUGGUUUCCCGCCGCCCGGAGCAAUGCUCUGAUCUGUAACAAGCCCCUUCCAGCCUCCGACUGGGAGGGCUGAAUCGAUUCUGCUAUACGGGCCGCGGCGGCCAAAUUCUGAACUGGGGUUCGAUAUACCUGCGUCAGCGGGAAGAGCUGGCGUCGACUAGACUUGGGAGCCCGCUGACGCGCUUGCUCGUCGAGUGCUCGCUGGAGAUUCUCCAGUCGAGUGCACUCGGCCAAGUUGGCCAAACGCGCGUCCUCCAGGGCCCGGGCCUCGGGGGUCUCUUCGACGAUAGGAGUGCGGAACGCGUCCAUGUUCCGGCGGCGAAGCUCCUCUCGCUGUAAUGACGUGAGAGGUUCGGGGAGAUACUCAUCGUGGGGAUGCGACGGAUCGCCCCCACCCGCGCCUCCAUCAGUGCGAGGGAAACCGGGAGGACUGUGUGUUCCGUCUACCGCCAGAAUCUCAGCCGCUGGGUCGCUGCUAUCGCACUCGGUUGCGGUCUCCGCGGAGCCAGUCGACAGGUCGAACAGGCCGCAGAGGGAUUCGUCGGGCUCGAUUGCCGCGAGUUGCGGGGUGGCCGACUGGCGAGCCACGACAUGCCUCACCCACCUCUGAAGUCUCGACCGACCAGAGCGCUUGCGCCGGUGGGAGACAGAGCGGGGAGACGAUACGGGGGCCGACCGAUACUGGGUCGACGGCUGCCGCAGGAGGACGCCACGAACGAAUGCGCGGAAAUGCGUCGCACCGCGGACGGGGAGCGCGUCGACGUCGAGUGGUGCCUCCUGAAGCCAGGCGGAGUCAUCGACGAUGAAGGUGAGCGCGCCGAGAUGGAUCUCGCGGUUCUCCACCAAAACUCCGCAAGAAAACAUGAUCAAAGGGAUCGGAAAAGAUCGCAACUUCUCCAACUAAGCGCUAAGAUUCCGCCCCCACGGUGGGCGCCAACUGUCGUGGUUCUAACUCUGACAGCGAUGUAGGGGGGUGAAUAUAGAGAGGCUAGAUCUUAGCUAUUGGGAAGUUGUUACACGCGAGGUUUACGAGUUCAGGCCCUUCUCAGAGGAAGUAAUAGCCCUACGUCUCGGAGCCCGGAGGCGGUCGACUGGAUUAUGCGUGUAUGGACUACAGGGGUGCAAACCCUUCAUACCGAGGAGGGGGGUGGCUUAUAUAGAGUUCGCCGGACCCCUCCUGCCCUCAGUAAUGCAGGGUUUAAGGUACAUUUAAGAUUGGGCGUUUCUGGUAACGUCCCUAAUAAAGUGCUAUAAUGAUCAUAAAGACUACUUAACAGCCGACCGUUUACCUGCGGAGUGACUUUAGGUCUCCUGGCAGUCGAGUGAUACCUUCUUGGGCGAGUGUCUUGAACCCGUCGAGUGGGAUACCUUCAAGUCGAUUGAAAGGUGACUUCUCCUAGGGGUGUCCUAGGGUAGGACUCUUUGGUCAGGUCCGUGUCCCUACCCUAGGUACACACCUUCAUCAGGCACCUCCAGAGACAGCCGCAGAGCACGCGCCAUCUCGUCGAGCGAAGUGGACGAGUUGUGCUGUUCGUUUACUUCCUGAUGAUCACGCUGGGCGCAGCCAAGGGGACUGCAAUCGACCUGGCCAAGUUCGUCGACAAGGUUGAUUUAUUUCACAUCCCAUCCCCUCAUCCUCCGUCUCUAAUUUUUUUUUGUCAGCAUAACAAUCCGGUGCUCCAAAUUUGCACAUGAUAAGGAUUUAGCUAUUGAACACAAUUAAGUGGCUUCCUAUGAAUAGUUGCAAUGCAGAUUGCCUUGUGAUAUGAAUGAAGGGGAAAUAUAUCUUUUUGCACUCUGUGUUUGUGUUAACUUGAGCUGGCUGGUGCUAUGUACGGUAGUCGUUUUAAGUCGUCGGGUGAAGUUGACGAAACCUGCCACAUACUCCCUACUUUUUUGUUUAUUUAAAUCGGGUCCUAUCAUAAGUAAAGUAUUUUUGUUGGACGUUGCACGAACCACAAAACCUGGGAUUAAUUGUGCAUUCCAAAACCUAGUCUUUUGUGACACGUGAGCUGUAAAACCUAGGUUUUGUGAAAUUCACUCACAUAAUUUGUGCUUCCUAUAAGACUGGGUAUAAGAACACAAAAAGGAUGUAUAAGCUGAAGAAUGUAUACAUAUUACAGUCUCUUGUUCUAGUAGCUGAAGAAUGUAUAACCUCCUUUAUUCGUUUCAAUGCGUGGACCCUUUUGUAGCUUUCAGGUUUGUUCUAUAUGCUGACCUGCUGCCAUAUUCAUAUGUCCAGUGACAGGAACUUUAAAGGCAUAAUAUGACCAGCACUCAACUUAGUGCUAGAUUCCCCGCAAAAAAAAAAAAACAACUUAGUGCUAGAUGAAGCGGUUGAGUCUGAAAGAGGUACUUUCUGAUUCCUUUGGUUCUUUUGUAUAACGCUUGGUAUUGCUUAUUGAAAUUGGCAAGAGCUAGGGACUUAGGACACACAUUUUAUAUCUCAAUUAUUUGGGCAGUUAGUAUUUUUUUGCUAGCUAAUUGGUUAACUAAAAUUCGGCUAAGGGAUAAGAUAACUGCUUAUUAGAACUCUGAGUGAGCUAAGUGUAGACGGGGCAUGGGAUUCUUUGUUCUGCAAAGAACUAGAUCAUCCAUCAACCAUACUAGUGCUACAUUUCUCAGUAAGUAUAUGCCUGGCUGCGUAUCCGGAUGGAAUAUUGUUAAGUUAGUUUUUACCGCGCUGAACAGAAUGAAGUUACCAGGGAAAGGGAAAACCAGACAGCUUGGCCUCAUUGUAAGUAUUUGUUUUCUGACAGUUUUGAUUUUAUACUUAGUCAUUCCUCUAUUAUUUGAGUGAUGCGAUAGAUUAGGGGAGCUGUCAGGUUGUUAGCAACAAAUGAAUUCAGAAAAGGUAGGCUCAGCCUAUCAGGCGCUAGUGUUUCUACUCCCUCUGUUCGUUUUUUUAAGGCGUUUUAGACAUUUUAGGCAGCGUGUAAAACAGCUUAAUUUCAAUUGUCUGAAACAACUUACAAAAGUGAACGGAGGGAGUAGUAGAUUAUCCUUUAGGAUGAGUAGUCAGUCCUCCUGUGGUUACCUGAAGAAACGUAAGAAACUACCUUCUCCGUUCGAAAAUGCUUGUCAUCGAAAUGGACAAAAAGGGAUGUAUCUAGAACUAAAAUACAUCUAGAUACAUCCCCUUUUAUUCAUUUUGAUGACAAGUAUUUCCGGAUGGAGGGAUUACCUACAUAAUUUUGAGGUCUCUGCUAAAUAAUUCACUUUUGGUAUAUGUGCCGUUGCUGCGCCCUGUUUACAACUACAGGUCUGAACUUGAUGUGUCCUGUUGUGUUUUUUUGCAGGCGUGCAGGAGCACGGCGGUCAUGCUGGUCUCACCAUGAGAUGGCGAACCCUUUCCUCGCCGAUGGGGCAUAAGCUUGCAUUGGUUGGUUAUAUACUCCUAUUUAGAACCCGAACGUUUUAAUUUUCACUGCACAAGUUCAAAUAUUGACCCUUGGUUGCUAAAGUGCUGCUGCUGCUAAGUAACUCUGUGUUUUUUCUGUUAAGAAUUAAUUAACUUAUGUUAAUUAGGGAUAAUCCCUGCCUCUCCCCUAACCACCGUCGCUUGCUAGGCAGCGGACGCGACUAUUGGCUCGUGUCUUUCUUCUAAAAGACACCUCUUGUAACACACCCUUUGGGAGGGUAUAAAUACCCACAUCAGUGAAUAAGAAAGUGCUGUUCGUUUGCUUUAUCUCUUAACACGUUAUUGGCACUUUUCUCUGCCGAGAGCAAUUAGGCCACAGAACGAGAAACAGACAGGCCGUCCCAAGAACGACGGCUGCAUGCACGGCGUCGCCGACAUGGAAGACGGCGGCCUUAACAAAGAAUGGUGCAACCAUGCAUCAACUAUUUGGCAUCGCGACGCACCAAGACGGCUUCGGUUGCCGCGGCGCGAGGCGUCAGCAACGGCACGCGACGGCACGGCCGGCUACGCAGCGGCAUGUAGUGCCACGGCGACUGUAUGCGACUGCGGGUCGCAUCUGACGCGGCGUCAACAACGCGGGCUGCAGCGGCAGUGCGACGGCGGCACGGCCACGCGAGAAGAGUUGCCUCGCCAUCGGCGCUGAGCACGGCCAUGCACAGGCCAUCCACGAAAUAGACGACUGCAUGCAUUCAUUCGUACAGGAAGUUGAUCAGUAGAAUGCUAAUUUAGUUGUCGUAUUUUGAUUAAGAACAAUCAGCCGAUGAUUGAUAUGAUUAUGCUUUCAUGUACUUCCUGCGAGAAUCACUUCACCGAAUCUGGCACAAGAUGAGGAUGGAUCGACCGUCUACUACAAAAAGCAGGACCAUUAAACUCGGUAGAUCAUGGUUCUCCAUCAUACAAACAAAGCGGGUCACGCCGGCGGCAUCGCCAGCAUCUCAGGAUUGUCAACAUCCCAAAACGCCAAAACGCAGUGUGCAUGGCGUCGGCGGCGCGACGGCUUGGCAGCGACUGUCGGCUGCGAGGUGACGUAUGCGACGCGGCCUCGGGGAUGGAUGCCCUCCGCAGCAACUCGGCUCUGGCCGAAGUCGUGGCACCGACGUACUCCGAUGCGGAGACAACCGGCGUGCACGGAACCACCGCCGGCGGUGGUGGUUAUGGGAAUUUUUCCGAUUGGAAACUGCUCCCCUGCCGCUCAGGUAUGGCCACGAAAGGCCAGGGAGGUCCACAACGGUCCUAAUGGGCUAGGCCCAUGCUCGGGAACUUCCCGUAAUAAAUAACCUGAAAAAAAAAGGAGAAAACGGGACAAGGAAAGAAAUGAAGUGGCAUGUGUGUGUGCCAUGGGUUUGGGCAAUGCUAUAUAGCUUCGGCCCAGGCCAAAAUUUUCUUUCUUUUCUGUUUUUUCUUCUUCUGUUUGAGCAUUUAGCUCUACAGUUUUUGUUCAGAAUGUGUUUUCACGGUAAUUGCUUGUAUAUUACCGUAUUGUGAAGCACAUUAGUACAUCAACAUACCUGAUUACGCAAUUUGAUGAUUGCCAUAUGUUGACGAUGUUUGAAACUUAAUUUACUAGAGUAAAUUAAUUGUGUAUGAUGGUUUCAUGCAGGAUAUGUUGGACAUAUCCAAGAGAGUGUUUUCCUGUGUUUGCCAUUGAUGGCAUCAAUAAUCAAACCUAGGCCAUGAAUGUCAAGAUUAACUUGGCGGCCCGGGAUCUCAGUUCCCACAUAACCACACCCGCUCAGGGGCUCCGGCUAUAGUCACUAUAGCAAAGUAUGUUACAUUGCACUUCACUACACCAUGAUCUAUAAAGGUAUCUGAUACUCUAGAGCUCUUUUGAGGAGCAAUGUGAUCAAUAUAUGGUGAUGAUGAUGCUUGAAGUGCAUAGGAAAUGGAUGCUCGUCCGAUUCCAUGAAUUUGAGUCAGUGACAACAUACAACUCUAAUGAGCAUCAAAUCAACCGAGGGUUGAGAUUCUGCGAUAGUGCGGUUUCAGAUUCCAAUUUCAUCGAUGAAAUGUGUUCCACUUUUAAUCCUUUUAUGAGGAUUUUGACUGAAUUGUUUUGUCAAUGGUGAAGGAAAGUGGAGACAUGAUGAGAAACAGAAUAUGAAUGGAGCACAAAAGGGCAAAAGUCAUUUCUUGGAGAAUGACAAGGUCAGUAGCCUCGGUUGCUACACAAGUGGUUAUACGACUCACAAUGUAAGGAAAUGUGAUACUUCCAUGCAUUUGGUGGAUUUGUACAUUCAUCAAUUGGCUAAGGGCAAGAGGCCCAUGGGAACAAGUGUGAAUCUUACUUCACUUGCAAUAACAAUGAUUUCCCAAUGGUUGAAAGUUCCUAGAUGUUCCUCGGAACACGAGCAACUAGGAUCAUGCUCAGCAAAAGGAAGGUCCACUAUUGAGUAUCGAUGACAUGUUAGUGGACUUCAAUUUUAUUGACAUAUAUGGAGACCGGAUUCGGUCUCUUUUGUCAUGCAUUGUAAUGAUGUCUAUAGACAUAUUACAUGUUGUAAAAUGAAUUAUGUCCAUCAACAUAAUAUGAUAGCUAUGUCAUCAGACAUGAUGCUUGUGGUAUAUCCUCUGACAUAUAUAGCUUAUGAUGUAUGUAUUAUUUCCAUAUGAGUUCAAUCAUAUGUUGAAAUUGGUUUCUUUCUCUUUAGAAACUUAACGAAAUAAUCCAAUUGAGAAGAAAAUGUGUUAAGUGGAAACUGGGUCUACUAACACGAUAUUUUGGGAGAUUAAGUGUUUCCAUUGCAAGCUCUUGAUAAGAGUAAUGGAAGUGUCAUGACAAUUGUGGUCGUGAUACGGUAAUUGUUGGUUCUGGUCAAGCCACAAUUACACUCCCUAUGGGUACUACAUGGUAAUCAUGGGUGCAUUGAUGUAUCUAGAUUCUACUCGUAGCUUGCUGAGUUUUAAGGAUAUCCGCAAUGGUUUCUAUGUUGAAACCCAUAAAGCGAGUGAGGUUGGAAGCCUACUCAUGACUCAGCAAAAGGGAUUUGAAUGAAAUCCUAGACAAAAUGUCUUCUCUAUCUUUCGGAUUGUACUAUAUAUACAUACAUUGCCUGGGUCUAAAUCCUAGACUAAAUUAGAUGCGCAUUUGGCGUAUAAGAUAAUUUUCUAGAAUCUUGAUAAGUUCAAGAUAUGGCAACAUUGCCUGGGUCUCCCUAGUAUUGGGAUGAUGAGAAAAUUAUUGAUGGUCCGAUUGGACACAAAUCUAACGGUGUGAAUUUUCUAAAUUCAUUGAAUUGUGUAUGCACGAUGUGUGCAGACCGGGAAACUGAGCACAAGGCCAUCUUAUCUCAUGAAAGAGGAUGGGCCACUAGAUUUCCUUGGAUAGGAUAUAUAUAUAUAUAUAUAUAUAUGUGUGUGUGUGUGUGUGUGUGUGUGUGUGUGUGUGUGUGUGUGUGAUCCAGUUCAACCGUCAUAUGGGAUAUUCACAUAUUUUAUAGUGCUUUUGGAUGCAUCAGUGAGAUGAUCCAAUGUGUGUCUUAUUAUAAGGGACCAUGCGUUUACAUAGUUGAUUGCUCGGAUCAUUAAUUUGAGAGCAAAUCAAUCCUAGCACGGGAUAAAAUCCAUCAGAAUGGAUAAUGCUGCGAAAUUUAGUUUGUGAGCAUUUGAUGAUUACUGCCUAGAUUGAGGCAUAACUGUGGAGCAUAUUAGUACUUUGUGUACAUACCCACAUUAGUCUUGCGGAAUCACUUGUCAAGAGGAUAAGUUGAUAGCAAGAUUGCUCCUAUAGAAUUGUAAUCUCCCAACAUCUAGUUGGGGACAUUGCAGUUUUACGUACUGCAUAUACAAAUUCGACGAACUGCAUAUUAUAUGGUCUCCCUGUUGCAGUUAGUACGUGGAAACGAGUAAGUAUUUCCCAUCUGCGAUAAUUCGGUUGUGUUGGAUACAUACAUAUUUCACCACCGCAACGUACAUAUAUGGGCCCUCAUAGAAAUUGGGGAUCUAUGUGAGGUAUAAUUCUCCGUCAAUCAUAAAGUACCUGUAGUCCUAAGAAGGGGACUUGUUUAUGGCCGGGUACGCUGAUUGUAUUUUGAUCAGGACAUUUUCCGGCAUUAGGGGGAGAUAUGGACCACAUUGAAUGCCAGAAAAUAGAUUGAGAUGUGAAUAGACAUCUAGUCCUGAGGUCCACGUACGAAUGAAUCUGAACUAGAGGUUCAGAAUAUUAUCAAUUUGCAAAGUAUCGCAAAUAAUCUGCCGGUUGCAUUUACUAAGUAUAUAAGUGUCACAAAGUAAAAUGUUCCCAUAGUGAUUGUGUCAGAAAGAGUGGAUGUGACCCAUAGGUCCACUCGGCCAUCGAAGAGGGGGAGGAAUCUGGACACAAGAGGAAAAGGCUUCAUGGAAGCGUCCAAGGGGAAUGAGGAAUCCUCAAACAGUAAAUGUAGGUCAACUUCAUGUUGAUAUUCAACCAAGGGUUGAAAGACACCUAAAGGAUGUUGGACACAUCUAGGACCCAGCACGAGUGUGCACACAAAUAUUUGUGCUGGGACAUCGGAAGAUCUUGACUCAACUGUUGUGGGAAAUCACAAAGAGUCAAAAGGUAAUGAUGAAAUCUCCACUCUGGAUAUGGAUUCGGGAGAAUCAUACAAUAAAGACUACAUUAUGUCGACAUUUAAUUAUCCUCAUGAAUUGCGAAAGACCUUGGAUUGGAUCUAGAACCAAAUUCCAUGCAUGGUUGAGUGUCUAAAACGCUCUAGUUGAUCCAAAGGAAGGCAACAAUUGAGGAUGCGCUCGCUCUCAAGAAGAGGGGGCAUUGACUUGAUCAGUAAUACCCACUCCUAUGAAUUUGUUCCCCGGGGGAGCAAAUGGGUUUUUUUGUUCAUGAGAAAUGAAAACCAAGAGGUGGUGAGACAUGAAGUGAGGCUUGUAGCACAUGUGUUCACGCAGAGACCCUUCAUCGUUUAAGAUGAAACAUGUUCUUCUGUUGUGAGUGGAAUAACGUUCCGAUAUUUAAUAUCACUGGCAGUGAAUAAUGAAUUUGUUUAUCAAACUGAUGGAUGUUGUGACUGCAUAGUUGUAUGAGUCACUUGAUUCAGAUAUCUCUAUGAUAAUUCCUGAUGGAAUUAAGAUUCUGAAUUUAUUCGCAACAUGUAUUGUGGAAGCUUCAAAGGUCAUUUUAUGACUUGAAGUCGGCAAGGAUGUGGUAUAACCGACUGAGUGAGUUCCUUUGUUAGAAGGAUUACUCAAACAAUGAUAGUUGCUCAUGUAUACUCAUCAAGAAAUCCAAAGAAGGAUUUGUACAAUUUAUGUGUAUGUUGAUGAUCUGAAUAUCAUUGGAACUACACAAGAAAUACAUGACACAAGCAAAUCAUCUUAUGACGGAGUUUAAGAUGUAAGAUUUGGUUGAGACCAAACUUUGUUUGAGUUUGGAACUUGAGCGUAUUCCUUCAUGAAUACUUAUUCAUCAGUCUACAUGUAUCCAAAAGAUUUUUGAAAGUUCAACAUGGAUAGGUCAUAUCCAUUAAGGAAUUAUGGUUUUGAGAUCUCUGGAUUACUAGAGAUAAGGACCCAUUAAGGCCUAAUGGCAGUGAUGAAGAGAUAUUUGGACUUGAGUUUCCAUAUCACGGUGCAAUGAGAGCACACGUGUAUCUAGCAAACUGUACCAGACCUGGUAUUUCAUUAGCAGUAAAUUUAUUAGCUAGAUACAAUGCAUCACUGAUUAGAAGGCGUUGGGUUGGUGUGAAGAAUAUUUUCAGAUAUCUUCUGGACACCAUAGAUCUUGGUUUGUUCUAUGAGAAAACAAAUCAAGAUAUGACCAUGGUUGGAUAUUGUGAUGCUGUGUAUAUAUUAAAUCCCUAUAAUCCUAGAUCACAGACUAGUUUUUGUCUCCUCGAAUGAAGGUGUGACCUUUGACCUUCUCUGGGAAGUCGAGAAGACAUAUUUAGUGGCUGCAUCCACUAGUCAUUCUAAAAUCGUUGAUUCAUAUGAAGCAUCACAUGAAUGUAUGUGACUUCACGGAAUGAUGAACUUUCUUGAAAGUUCAAGUGGGAUUGGUUGGUAGGAACCACCCACCAUUAUCUCUGAAGAUAAUGUUUUGUUUGUAUUAUGCAGAUGCAGACAGGUUAUAAAGAGCAACACUAGAAUGUGUAUGGCUCUAAAAGUAUUUUAUUCCCCAUGAGUUGAAGAAAGGUGGAAGAUAAAUGUCUUGCAAAUGAAGUCAUGUGAUAAUUUUGGUGAUUUAUUCACAAAGUCUUUACCAAGUUCUUCAUUCCAGAAAUAAGUUAAUGGAAUUAGUAUGAGGUGACUUUAUUAUUUGCAAGGUUCAGGGGGAGUGCACUCAUGAAUGAUAACCUGUUCGAGAUCUUCGGAUCUUUUGUAUUGCACUAUUUUCCUUUAUGAGUUUUUCAUGAAUGGUUUCUCAUGAAAGGUUUUAAUGAGGCAAUAGUAAUACAAAUAUGAUAAUAUGUCAUUUUCUCCUUAUUUUCCCACUGGGUUUUUGGAAGGAGUUUUUCAUGGGCAUAUAGCAUAUAUAUCCUCCUAUUUUUUCCACAGGGUUUUUGGAGGAAAAUUUAAGGAAGAUUGUGUAUGAUUACAAGGAGAAGCAGUGAUUAGAGGGAGUGUUAAGAAUUAAUUAACUUAUGUUAAUUAGGGAUAAUCCCUGCCUCUCCCCUAACCACCGUCGCUUGCUAGCAGCGGACGCGACUAUUGGCUCGUGUCUUUCUUCUAAAAGACACCUCUUGUAACACACCCUUUGGAAGGGUAUAAAUACCCACAUCAGUGAAUAAGAAAGUGAUGUUCGUUUGCUUUAUCUCUUAACAUUUUUCUCUUCUUCUCCGAUACCACUAUUGAGUUAGAGAAAAAUUCACUGUAGGUCACAAAACUUGAGCCGGAUGACACUUUGGUACCGCUACUUCAAAAUACCCGAACUACGGUCCAUGUACUUGCGCACAGGGUUCACUUUGGUCUGUAUGUACGAUUUCGUCUACGUAUUUGCUGACUUGGCUGAGUCAGCGGCCGCCAGUUAGGCUUUGACCGCCAUGUAGUCGAUCCUAGGGUGAAUACUACUCGAUCUGGGGUUAUUUUUGCAAAAACGCCAUUUCGCCCAGGGACCUGGUGGAGACGGUCUGGGGAAUCGCCGGCAGCGGCGUGCCGUUCCUCUGGGUGGUCCGGUCGGUCCUGGUCACCGCGGACGGGCUGACAUGGCUGCCGGAUGGGUUCGAGGAGGCGACACGCGGGCGCGGGAUGGUGGUGGAGUGGGCGCCGCAGGAGGAGGUGCUCUGGCACGCGGCCGUGGCCGGGUUCUGGACGCACGGGGGCUGGAACUCGACGACGGAGAGCGUUUGCGAGGGGGUGUCAAAGUUGUGUCGCCCGCACUUCGGCGACCAGAUGGGGAACGCUAGGUACGUGGAGCACGUGUGGAGGGUGGGCUUCGAGGUCGCCGGCGCGCUCGAGAGGGGCGGCGUGGAGGCCGCCAUCCGGCGGCUCGUCAUAGGGAGCGAGGGAGUGGAGAUGCGGGCCAGGGCCAGGGACCUGGUGGAGACGGCCUGGGGCAUCGGAGAAUACACGUGAGCUUCGGCAGCCUGGCAUGCAUGUCGAGUCAUUAGGGUGGUUUUGCAAAAACGCCAUGACCACCCUUCUCUUUCUCUUCUUUGAGAGCGAGGAAUCGGUUUGAGCUGCUGAGCGCCCUGCUUGCUGCUGGUUCUUUGAUCGUCUAGAGUUUUGAGCUGAUUUGGAGGAGGCGGGGGUGAACCGGUGGAGGGAUGUCGCGACGGCUGUCGUUGCCGGCGGGCGAGCCGGUGACGGUGACCGUGUCGCCGACGAGAGGGAAGGGUGCUGGAGGCGGGAGCCUCGGGGAUGGGGUCGUGAGGAGGGGGUCCGGGCUCACCAGCCCCGUGCCUAGGCACUCCAUCGGCUCCUCCACCGCGACGCUGCAGGUCUCGCCAGUGCGCCUGAGCGGGGGGAGCCGGUACGCGUCGAGGGACGGUGCCGACGCGAGCGCCGAGUUCGUGCACUACACUGUGCACAUCCCGCCCACGCCGGACAGGACCACGGCGUCCGCGUCCACGAACGCGCCCGUAGCUGAGGAGGAGGGGGGUGCUUUCGGAGAGGAGCUACGUCUCCGGCACCAUCUUCACCGGCAGCCUCAACUGCGCGACGCGCGCCCACGUGCUCGGCAACUCUGCCGAUGGCGCUCGGCCGGCCGCCUCCGUCAACAUGUCUUGCAAGAUGCGCGGCUCCGACAUGCCGGCGUUGGCAGCCACCCGCCUUGUGACUGCAGCUUCAUGAUCUGUGAGGAGUGCUACAUGGACUGCGUCGCCGCCUCCGGCAACUACCCAGGCUGCAAGGAGGCCUACUCCGCCGGCAGCGACACCGACGACUCUGUCGACAAGGACGACGAUGACGCCAUCUCCUCGUCGGAGGAGAGGGACCAGAUGCCCAUGACAUCCAUGUCCAUGCGCUUCUCCAUGGUGCACUCCAUCAAAAUGCCCAUGCCCAGCAACAACGGCAAGCCGGCCGACUUCGACCACGCCCGGUGGCUCUUCGAGACCAAGGGCACCUACAGCUACGGCAACGCUCUAUGGCCCGAGAACGAGCACGGCGGCGGCGGCAACAGCGCUGGGGCCACCUCCGGAUUCGUUGGCAUUGUCAGGACCCCGAUCCUAAGUCACACCGAUCUAGCAUGUAACGCAUCAUAUCACUUUGCGGCCUCACGCACGGUAUUCCCAUGGGUGCCACUUUACCUGGCUCGGGACCGUUUGCGCCUUUUGGCUCACGUAUAUGAUAGUGUCGCUAGCAUCCAUAUGACAAAGAACCUGGGCCGACAUGGCUAGUCGUGAACCCAAAGCGGCACUAACCCAUGGGGACAGGCAUACAUGAAUCAACCUCGAGCAUGUCGGUCAACAGCGUGUGAAUCCGGGCUGUAGCACUGGGCUAACAGGACUCCGGUAACUCGGGCUGUAGCAGGCUAGGCAGGACUCCAGAUGCCACCGCGUGACAUUUCCCCGAAGGGACAGACACAGGAACGAAGUGAAACACAUGCCGGCUAGUCAAGUGUCCUGAGCAGUAGUGCUGGGCUAGCAGGACUCCGGUGAACCGGGCUGUAGCGGACUACUAUGGCUCAAGGAAGCACUAGACUACAUUUCCCCAUAAGAGAGGCUGUCGAGGAUAAACAACUAGAUUAUCGGAUCCCACACAUACCAAGCAUUUCAAUCAUACACACAAUAUGCUCGAUCUGUGUAAAUACAACAUGGCAUCACAACAAGACUCUACGACUCAAGUAUUUAUUCAUUAGGCUCCGAGGAGCGAGAUAUUACAAACAUGGGUCUCAUGACCCAACAUUCAGAGCAUACAAGUCAAAGCACAUGCCGAAGCUUAACAUGUCUGAGUACAGACAUCUACAAAUGAAAAAGGCUGAGAAGCCUGACUAUCUACCAGAUCCUGCCGAGGGCACAAGAUCGUAGCUGAGGUAUCAAGCUAAACGUCGAAGUCCACACGGAACUACUAGCGAGACUGACGUCUCUCUACAAAACAUAAAAUAGGCAAACGUGAGUACAAAUGUACCCAGCAAGACUUACAUCAGAACUAGCUAUAUAUGCAUCAGUAUCAACAAAGGGGGCGGUGGAGUUUGACUGCAGCAAGCCAGCUUUGACUCGGUGGCUAUCCUGAACUACAACUGCAAGUAACUCUUUUGAGGUGGCGCACACGAGUCCACAUAUUCACCAUAUCAAUACACCACUAUGGAUCCGCUCCCGUCUUCCUACGAGAAUGCCAUCCAUAGCACUCAUGCUUAUCUUGCGCAUUUAGAGUAUCCACUUUCACUUGUCUAUGAACUGAUAUAGGCAACCCAGAAGUCCUUUACCGCGGACACGGCUAUUCGAAUAGAUGAUAUUAACCCUGCAGGGGUGUACUUCUUCACACACGCUCUCGCCACUUACCACCAUGUACACGUCGUGUAUCUCGGCAACCUUCAAGCGGAAGCCUGGCGAGGGAGUCGGCCACGACCUGACUAACCACACAAGUCUCUAGUCCAGGUUUAUCGCCUAUUCGGGUUCCAUCCGCAAGGAGAUCUGGCCGGGGUGUCGCUCACGGCCCCAAAUGAUGUGUACAGGGUUCCAAGCCCACCAAACGGGGUGCCUAGUCUGUCCCAAGCCCACCUGUACCGGGUGCCACUUGGUAGACUACUAACACUACCUACAAACACCAGAAACUAGUUGCAACUCCUGAACAGAGAUCGGGUUGGUUAAUAAGUCGAGAGGGGCACUUAAGCAUUCCAAUGCGUGGUAGUAACUGUUCAUGGAUCACAAACACAGAAUUCAGUUCCUGAGGACGGCUGCAAUGAGACAACCCACCAUGUACUCCUACAUGGCCUCUCACCGCUACCUUUACCAAAUUGUGUUCACACACUUAGCUCUCAACAGUAGGACAUGUUCACCACAUUCCAAUUCAUCCCCGAUGAAUCAGACCUAACUCAACUCUAAGCAGUAGCAGGCAUGACAAACAAGCAUGAAUGAGUAGGCACAUCAGGGCUCAAACAACUCCUACUCAUGCUAGUGGGUUUCAUCUAUUUACUGUGGCAAUGACAGGUCAUGCAGAGGAAAAGGGUUCAGCUACCGCAGCAUGUAACAGUUGAAACGUUGUUGUCCUAAUGCAGUAAAAGAGAGCGGGAGCGAGAGAGUGGGAUUGUAUCGGAAUGAACAAGGAGGUUUUGCUUGCCUGGCACUUAUGAAGAUAUUAUAGUUCUUCAUCGGUGUCAUCGAUCACAUCGUCGGAAACACGUCUAUCAAGAGGGGACAAACACCGGCAACUGAGAAAGAACACAAUCAAUGCGAUGCCAUAAUAUGAUGCAUGAUCAUGACAUGGCAAUAUGCUGUGAUUUGAGCUAAUGCAUCUAGCUAUGAUUUAAAUGAAGUUGGUUUGAAUACAUGAUUCAAAUUCCAACUCCAUAUAUGAUUAUUUAAAUGCCCUUUAUUUGUUUUGUCCAAAACAGAGGACAAACAUUGUUCAAACAUGCAUGAAAAUGGUACAGAUGGAUUCCUUGAAUUUUUCUGAUAAUGUUUCAUAUAUAAAACUUUUCAUUUGGAGUUACGUUUGAAUUACUAUGAAUUUUUGAAGUUUAAAUCAUUUUCUGGAUUUCCCUGGAUUAUUUAGAAUUAACAAAAUCCAGUAAAUGAUUUACUGCAUCAGCAUGACAUCAUGCUGACGUCAACGGUCAACGGAGAGGCCCGGGUCAAACUGACCAGUGGGUCCCGCAUGUCAAUUACUAACUAAACUAUCCUGGUUUAAUUAGCGCUAAUCCUAGAUUAAUUAGUAGGGUCGGGCCCGCGUGUCAGUGACUCAGAGGGGAGUCAAACCCAGCCAAUCGGGGUCAAACUCGCCGGAGUUUACCCACGGCUCGUCGCCGGCGAGGCCAGAGACGGCGGAGACAUUGGGGUUUCGUCCCACGGCGACCAAAUCGAAGGCCGAGGCCAUCUACGGAACAAGGAGACUUCUCCGCGUCGAAUGGUGCGAGCGGGAGGAGCUAGGGUGGAGCGAGCUCGCCGGAGUCGAGCUCGUGGCGGCGGCCGGCGUUCGGCGUUAGCGGGUUAGGCACUACGGCGCAUCUCGGGCGAGCUGGUGAGGUCCACGGCUUCCUGGGAGUGCCCUGAGUGCGGUGACGCGCUCGGUUUAGACGGAGACAAGCCAAAAUGGCGACGACGACAAGUCCGGCGCCGGCGAAGUCUCGGCCUCGACGGGAACGAGGACUACGCUGCGGUAUUGAGCAUGGGGGCAGGGGGGUUCGGUAGAGGAGCUCACGGCGAGUCGGACGAGGGUCUCAGAGAGCUCGGGGAAGGUCUGGAGUCGUCGGGCCGGCGGACGCGAUCUCCGGCGUCCGAGCUUGAAGGCGACGAUGGUGAGGACGUUGCGGCGCGUCUGGCAGCGUGCGGCUCGUCGAGGAGGUCGAGGGAGUCGAGGCGGAGCUCGUGGGCAGGUCGGAGAGGCGAGGGGAGCACGGUGGCUGCGGGUUUCACGGCGGCGAGCGCUUGACGGUUGCGGCCAUGGCAAGGAGAGGGCGAGAGAGAGGGCAGAGGGGGAGAGUGAAACGUCCAGGGGUUCGGGGCGGCGCCGAAGAGAAGGCCCGAGGCGUCGCGGUGGCCUCGAUGACGCAGGCGAGCAGGGAGGUGCGUGGCGCCGCGGGCGCGCGUGCGCUGUCUCCCUCCUCUGCCUACUGGCAGAGGUAGGUGAUGACUGGCACGGGCCAGGUGGGCUGGGCAGCACAGCUGAGCCGCUGGGCUGUAGGUAAGCGCCAGGUAAUUCCUUUCUCUCUCCUUUCAGUAUUUUGUUUCUGUUUUCUAUUUUUGACAUUUGUUUUAAUUUGGUUUUUGAACCAAACUAAUUUUGUUGCUUCUGAUAUAUUUUGCAGGGACUAAAAGGAUUAUUCCAAAGCUCCUCAACAAAAAUCAAUUAUAAAAAUAAUCACGCAAUUUAAAAUUUAUCCAUAUGAUUAAAUUAUAGAUUACAAAAAUAUUCAUGUAAUAAUUUGCAUACUGAAUACAAACAUAUCAAGGUAAUUUUAUAAUUUUGUGCAUAUUUAUAAAUGCUUCUAUAAGUAUUAAAAUGUUCACAAUUUAUAAACAACAUUUUUUUACUUUAAAAAGUAUUCACAUGUUUUCAUAAAAUUUGUAUGUUUUCUUAAAUGGGCUGCAGUCCAUGUGGUCCAUUUCGCACUGUUAUUUUUACAAAUUUAUAAAUAUAUGUAAAUUUUAAUUCAAUGUUAUUAAUAAUAUAUAUAAUAAAAAUAUAUAUUAUAUAUGUACGUAUUUAAUUACAUUUCUAUAUAUAAUUAAAAUAUGUAUUAUAUAUGCACGUAUUUAAUUACAUUUCUACAUAUAAUAAAAAUAUAUAUUAUAUAUGCAGGUAUUUAAUUAGUUUUCUAAUGCUCAUAUAAAUAAUAUUCGUGUAUCAUAGUAACUUCAGAUUUUAGAAGUUUCUUAUAUAAAUAGUAUUCACGUAGUAAAUUAAAAAAUGCUCAUAUAAAUAAUAAUCCCUCCGUCCGAGAAUACGUGUCCUAGAAAUGAAUGUAUCUAGACUAAUUUUAGUUAUAGAUACAUCCAUUUUAUCCAUUUCUAGGACAAGUAUUUCCGGACGAAGGGGGUAUUCACUUAUUAUAGCUAUUUUAUAUUUAUUUAUAUAUUUGCUACCCAUGGUUAUAAUUUAUAUAUUUUUUAUAAAAGAAAUAAGAAAUAACAGUAUAAAAUAGCCUGUGGACUGCGGUCCGGUUAAGACGCAUAGAAUAUAUAGGGUAAGUAUCCAUAGUGGACAUGAAACUUGGCUGGGUGAGGUGGUUAGUCGACUGAGACUUAACCACUAUCGUAUUGAAAACACCAUAUAUAUUUUUUGAACACCCCUUCGUUGUUAGCCGAAGAUGCUCCAGAUUUAUAUAUUUGGGCCCUUCCAACAUUUUACCUCUUAUAUUGGCCCCUCUCUACCAAGAUUCCUGGUUCGUCCGUAGUGGUGCUCACCGAGUGAUUGCUUGAGCUCGUCUUCACUGGUUGCGCUUGCAUUGUUGGCAUCCACAUAUUUGUUUCCUUUGUCAAAAUUCAGAAGCCGCACAAAAUUGCUUACAGAAUACACCUGAGGCGACGAUGCCAUGCCAAUUUGAAACUCGAUGCACACCUCUCAAAACGUAUGUAGUCUCGACAACGCAGCGCGCGGCGCAUCGUGUUGCAGAUCAGGCGAUCAGAACAAUCGUCAAUCAGGCUGCACGUCGGCCGUGAAAAGGCAGAGCAUGAAGAGAAACAUACAUACACUGAUACAAAGGCUGGUACUGUACGUACUUUGUUAGGGCAUGUACAAUGGAAGCACUACCUACCUAAUGCCUCACCAUUGCCACGUAGAAAAUUAGCAGGGAAACCACCGUCCAAAAAUCUACUGCCCAACGCAGCACUAGCCUCAGCAGGCCAACUUUUUUACUAUUCAUAUUUCUCUCUCCUGCUUUACCAGAUCUCAGCCCCACGCUUUCUUCAGCUUCCUCUCUUCUUUUUUUGCCUCGCUCCACUUUUGGCAGGAAGGAGACGGCCUCCUCUGCAGAUCCCCCUUUAGACUGGUCAUAGUGGAAGUAACAUAGGUAGUAACAUAGAUGCCACAUAAGCAAAAAUGAUGAUGUGGCAAGUAGUUAAUGAGGAGAGAGGCAAAUAGAGUAACAUAAUAUGUUACCAUCACAUAGCGGUUUCCAAUGCAUAAUGAGUCUACAAAGUAAUAAAUGAAGGCAACUAUGUUACCACACCUAUGACACUACCCACUAUGAAGGUAGUAACAUAGACUAGUAACAUAUGUAUGUUACUAGUCUAAGUUACUCCCCACUAUGACCAGCCUUAGCCUGCAAGUAGCACGAACAGCAAUCGAGGACCACCCGAGCCGACGUGGAGAGCUGAGGCAUCCGUCCAGCCUGUAGCGUUGGGCAUGCCCUUAGGAACACGGUGACACAUUUGAUAAUCAAAUUCUCGUAACUGAAGCUAGAUCUUUCACUUCUCGUAGAAUAAAACAAGCCCGACAAAGUAGCGCAAGUUAAAACUAGAAUAGUAGACGAACUGGCAGCUCUGCUUAUUACUGCAACCAACCUCAAUGCGAUCAACUCGCACACGUAGUUUUUUUCGUUUGGAGGAGCAAGGUCAAUGCAGAUUUGGCAUCGACCAGGAAGGGCGCUGCCUACCGUGCAGGCAUUUCAAGAGGGACGUGGUGAGGCCGUCGAGGUCGAGCAUGGAGACGGUAUACCUCCCCCAGUCGCCCCACCCGGAGUUGGCGUUGGCCUCCUCGUGCGCGCUGGCCACGUACACGCAGUUCCUCCGCACCCCGUUCACCCCGUUCGCCUCCACGCAGAAGCCGCGGACGUGGUCCACGAACACGGCGCGGUCGCCGAGCCCGCCGCCGCCGACCUCCGACCACCCGGCCGCCAGGCUCCCGCGGUCCGCGCGAAAGGCCUUGAAGAGGCCCUUCGAGCGGUGGCAUCCUCCGUGCACGACGAGGAGGAGCUCGGAAGCGGACGACACGACGAGCGUGGACUCGCGCAUCCACGAGCGGUCGGGCAUCACCAGAUCUGGCGGCUCGAUCGCGGCGACCACGGCGAAGGUCGCGCCGUCCACGGCCGUUACCUUGUUGGCGCGCUUGUCGAGGACGUAGAAAGCGCCGUCGCAGUAGGUGAUGCUGCCGACGCGAGCUGGCGGCGAGAGGUCGGCGGGGGUCCACGACCUGCCGUCGCCCUGCAGCCGGCAGAAGAACGCGCCCUUACCCUGCGAGACCAUGACGGCGUCAGGCGACCGGUCCCAGACCAUGUCACGGAGGAUCAUCUGAUACCCGUCGUGGAAGGAUGGCGGCAACGCGGGCAGGCUCUCCGACGCGCCCGUGAAGGGGUGCAGCAGCGUGGCCGAGAAGUCGUCGGCCACGGCGAGCGUCCAGCCGCGCGGCGAGGCGAAGAGGAAGGAGCGGCCGCACGCUGCGGGCAUGGGGAUCUCCGUGAUGCUGUCGUCGGCGAGGGACCAGAGACGGCGGUUGACGCGGGAGUUCUGCUGGGAGGGCAGGAGGAGCAGGGGCACGCGGCGGCGGGCGGCGUGCUCCGCCGAGGCCGAGCGCCAAGAAGGGCACACCGAGCGGAAGCGCGCGAGGUCCGCAUGCUCGGUGAUCCUGUCGGCGAUCCCGGCUACGAGCUCGGCUGGCAGGUCGGACCAGCUCAUGGUGUUCGCGUCUGCGUGUUCUUGGAUUGAUGGAGGGAUCGAAGAGGAAUGCGAUGGAAACGGAGCUAUGAGCUUUGGUUGACUUUUGCUCGUGUGGAGUAGACUGAGUACUGUGGAGUGCGGAGUAAUUCUAGAUCGAGGUUGUGAGGAAGAUUGCUCCCUGAUCCUCUUUCUCUUUCGUUUGAUUAUUCUUAAGCUAAACCACGAGGCCCACGAGCUUUACUAUAUUGAGCGCUAAUACAAAUAUCUACCGUGCAUAGAUCCACCUCUUUGGUUUGGUCUAGCUCCGUCACUAUGUAAGUUGCCUGAAAAUUGAAUUCAGAUUUUUCAGCCUGUUGAUUGCUGCUCCAAGAUUCAUGUUUUUUUUUCCUGAGCUGAAAAUUUGUCACUAACACAGAGAUUGUUGCUCCAAGAUUCAUGUUUUUUCCUGAUGUGUAGUGACUUGUUUUGGGCUGAAAAUUUGUCACUAACGUCUGUGUUGGGUGACUCAGUAUUUCAAUGAGCUGAGGCCCGUUCACCGGACGACCAAGUUAGCUCUCUCUAGCCCAUCUGACAACCCAGCCCUCCUCCCUCCCUAUGCCUUUUCUGUUUUUCUAUUCUUAUGCGUUUUGCUUUUUUUUGUAAUCCAUCAUCUUUUUCCUAUGGGACCCAGCCUGCUUCCUCUAGGCCGACAGGUGCAUGCACCCAUCUAUCUGUUGAAUAGGUAUUUGAAAAAUGUUGAAGAAGUAUUUGAAAAAAUGUUGAUCAUGCAUAUAAAAAUAUUAAUCAAGCAUUUCAAAAAUUGUUGCACAAGUAUUUGAAAAUGUUGAACAAAUAUUUGAAAACUGUUGAAUAGGUAUUUGAAUAAUGUUGAAGAAGUAUUUAAAAAAUGUUGAUCAUGUAUAUAUAAAAAUGUUAAUCAAGCAUUUGCGACAAAUGUUGAAGAAGUAUUUAAAAAAAUGUUGAACAAGUAUUUGAAAAAAAAUUUGAACAAGUAUUUUAAAAAAUAUUGAUCAUGUAAAUAAAAAUGUUGAACAAUUAUUUGUAAAAAUGUUGAUCAUGUAUAUAAAAAUGUUGAACAAGUAUUUGAAAAAAUUUGAACAAGUAUUUGAAAAAAUAAUAUAGAAAGAAAAAAGAAUGAAAUAAUGGAGAAGACCGGCUCAGUCACCUCUAGUUGGUCGCGGUCCCUUUUCUAACGAGCAAUUGGAAACUAAUGGGGUGGUUAGCUGCUUUGGUGAUUGCCAUGGAGACCAGGCAUCGAUCACCAAUGCAGCUAAUAACUACCCCACCAGCUUCCAGAUGUUAAACUUUUUUUCAAAUACUUGUUCAAUUUUAAAAAAAUACUUGUUUAACAUUUUUUAAAUACUUGUUCAACAUAUUUUAAAUACUUGUUCAACAUUUUUAUAUACAUGAUCAACAUUUUUACAAUUACUUGUUCAACAUUUUUAUAUACAUGAUUAAUAUUUUUUUCAAAUACGUGUUCAACAUUUUUACAAAUACUUGUUCAACAUUUUUAUAUACAUGAUUAAUAUUUUUUCAAAUACUUUUUCAACAUUUUUUGAAAUACUUGUUCAACAUUUUUUGCAAAUGCUUGAUUAACAUUUUUAUAUACAUGAUCAACAUUUUUUAAAAUGCUUCUUUAAUAUUUUUCAAAUACCUAUUCAACAUUUUUCAAAUAUUUGUUCAACAUCUUUAAAAUACUUGUUCAAUAUUUUUUUAAAUGCUUGAUUAACAUUUUUAUAUGCAUGAUCAACAUUUUUUUCAAAUACUUCUUCAACAUUUUUCAAAUACUUAUUUAACAGAUAAAUAGGUGCAUGCACCUGUCGGCCUAGAGGAAGCAGACUGAGUGUCAAUCGGCAAGCAGUGGGCUGACUGAGGCCAAUUGGCCAGCAGUGGGCCGACUGGAUUCAAUCAGCCGACAGUGGGCCGACUGGGAUCCAAUCGGCCAGCAGCAGGCCGACUGGAUCCAAUCGGUCAGCAGCAGGCCGAUUGGGUAAUAUUUUUUAAAAAUAUAGUUAUGGCGUGAUAUUUUUGAAAUUUAAUAUAAAAAUGUAUUAUUUAAAAAAAUAGCUAUUUUUGGGAUGUUUCAUGAGUGCAACUGUAUUCACGCAAGUGCUAUACAAUAAGCAUAUAACUACAUAAGAGUGUGAAAGUUGUACUAUUAUAUGUGUAUUACUUGUAUCAAGAAGUGCAAUUUCAGUACAAAGUUGUGCAACUUUUUUAUUUUUAUUUUUAUUCUUCUUAAAGGCUAAUACCACCAUUACUAUUUCAUUCUUACUUAGAAAACAUCAUUAUUUUGAUUUUGGUAUAGUUUUUAUUUCUUUUUCUUUGUUCUUUAAGGAUAAUACCAAUUCCACCAAUUCAUUUUUUAUAGAAAAGUUCCUUUUCGCAAAAGAUCCAUUAUUAUAUGCUUACAAUUGUAUAUUAUAUAAAAAUAGUAAAUUGUGUGCAAAAAAUGUCACUAAUUUAUUCUUUCUUAGAAAGCUUCAUUAUUUUGAUUUUUAAGUUUUAUUUUAUUACUUCUUAAAAGGUAAUACCAUUGCCACUAAUUCAUUCUUACGUAGAUAAUUUAUUGUUUUAAUUUAGUUUUAAUUUUUAUUCCAUUUUAUUCCUUCAAAAGGGUAAUACCAAUGCCAUUACCCAUUCAUUCUUUGGGUACUUUUUUGUGAAAAAAUCACUAUUAUAUGCUUAUUCUUGCAUAUUAGAAAAUGAACACAAUUUCUGUGUAAAUUUUGUGCGAAUUUUGUCAUUACAUUUUUCUCUUAAAGGGUGAUAACAAUACCACUAAUUCAUUAUUCCUUAUACAACUUCAUUAUUUUUAUUUUAUUUAGUUUUAGUUUUUAUUUUAUUUUCUUUCUUCUUAAAGGAUAAUAACAGUGCCAUUAAUUUGUUCCUCCCUAGAACACUUCAUUGUUUUGAUUUGGUUUUAGAUUUUAUUUCAUUUUCUUUCUUCUUAAAGGAUGAUACAAUUGCCACUAAUUCAUUCAUCCCUAGAAAACUUUACUAUUUUGAUUUGUUUUGUCUUUCUCAUUUAUGGGUAACACCAAUGCCAUUUAUUCAUUCCUUCUUAGGGAACUUUUUUUUGUGAAAAAUACACUAUUAUAUGCUUAUUCUUGCAUAUAUUAUAAAAAGCGCAGUUUUUGUGUAAAUUGUGUGGUGAUUUUGUCAUUAUUUGUUUAUUUUUAUAUUUUAUUAUUAUUAUUAUUGUUAUUAUUAUUAUUAUUAAAGGCUAAUGUCAAUGUCACUAAGUGUGUUUUACUCAUGGAAAAGAGUUUAGUCACUUGUCAAAUUUGAGGGGGCUGGUAAAAGGGAUGCCCAGUCCUGCUUAACUUAAUAUAAAAAAAUCUCCCUGGAAAGUUGAUUGAUUGGAGGGCACGUGUGGCUUCAGCUAACCAUGACUUGUGUUUGUAAGGUUGUGGGGGAUCAAAACCUUUUUCAUUAUGGCAACUUCUAUUAAUGUGUUUAGCAUGGAAGAUAUUCAAAACUUUGUCGUUAAACCAUUGACAAGAAAAGUACAGCUCUCAAAUAAAAUUAUCUCUGUUUUAAGCAAUGAGCUCUCGCACAUAAGCAAAUCCCUGCUCACCUCUGUGAAUGGCCUAUCUAUUUACUUUUCAUGUUGAGUCAACUUCUUAUUACAACCUCAUUAAUUCUCUACUUGGCAAGCCUCAUGUGGUGGGGAAAGAACCAGGCACACAUAUCCAUUCAAAUAUAUUCGAUCAUGAGUUACUAUUGUUGACAAUUAUCUCUAUGAUAAGUAAGUUGGGAGGCAAAGCAUUAAGCCCCUAUCUUUUUCUGUGUUCAAUGGAUGCUAUUUGUUCUAUAACUAUGCUUUGAGUACUAGCAAUCAUACAAGAUUAUAUGAUAAUUGAGUAUGUGAAGCUCUUACUUAGACUUUUCUGGAAAUAAAUUGAAUUGUAAUUGUUUGGUGACUAAGAACAUAGGUUGUUAAGUUUCAAGAAAUUCAUUGUUUGAACCAUAACAUGUGAAUUGAUUGCUACUUUAUCAUGAUGAGUUUUGUGAGAAAGAGUUGUUCUUUAUGAUAUAUAAUUAUGCUAGAAAAAGUGAUUGGAAUUAUCAUUGAUCAAACUUAUGCACUAUGCUAGCAUUCACACUUCAUAGAUUUUUUUAAUCAUUAACCUACUUGAGGACGAGUAGGAAUUAAGCUUAGGAAUGCUGAUACGUCUCCGACAUAUCUAUAAUUCAUGAAGUAUUCAUGCCAUGUUUACAAUAAUUUUAUAUGGUUUUGGUGCACUUUUGUAUGAUUUUUGGGAACUAACCUAUUAACUUAGUGCAAGUGCCAAUUCCUGUUUUUUUGGCUAUUUCUUGUUUCGCAGAAAAACAUUAGAAAAUGAAGUCCAAAUGCCACAAAAAUUUAUGGUGAUUUUUUACGGACAAGAAGUGACCCACAAAGCUUCGGGGAUGGACCUGAAGGUGUCUAGGGGACACAAGCCCACUUGGCAUCCCCCUAGGGCGUGCCACCCGAGCUUGUGGGACCCUUGGGACUCCCCCUAGCGUGAAUCCAUUGCUGAAAAUUCUUGUAAAUUGGGUAAACCCCCAAAGUGAACCUAGAUGAGUUUCUUUCGGAGUCGUUUGCCUCUGUCCUGAAGCAAUCUCAUCCGGGGCUCCGUUCCGGCACCCUACCGGAGGGGGGAAGUCAUCACAGGCCAUAUUCAUAAUCCCCGCUGCUUCCAUGAUGAGGUGGGAGUAGUUCACCGUCGAGGCUGAGGGUAUGUACCAGUAGCUAGCUAUGUGUUUGAUCUCUCUUGUGAUCUUGAUUUGGCACGAUUUUAAUGUACCAUGGUCUUUGUUAAUAUAGUCGGAUCAUAUGGUGUUCUUCCCUCUCUAUCUUGUUGUGAUGAAUUGAGUCUUCCCCUCUGAAGUUUCGUAUGUUGGAUUAAAUAUUUGGAUUUGAGAUCACUUGAUGUAUGUCUUGCCUAUGGAUACCCGUGGUGACACUGGGGUAUUCUAGUGUGUCACUUGAUAUAUGUUUUGGUGAUCAACUUUCGGAUUCCCGUGUUGACAUUGCGGUAAUCUAGGCACAUAGGUUGAUACACGUUUUUGUCCUACUUUCUACGAUAAGAACUUUGGAGCGAUUAUUUGUUUCAUGUUGAAGGAUUGUUAUAUGAUUCAAUUAUGCUAGCACUAUUGAGAGAUUGCACUAGUGGAAGUAUGAACCCUAGGCCUUGUUUCUAAGCAUUGAUAUACCAUUUCGCUCGAUGUUUACUACUCCCUUCGUCCCAUAAUGCAAGAUGUUUUUUGACACUAGUGUAGUGUAAAAAACGUCUUACAUUAUGGGAUGGAGGGAGUACUUGCUACCUUGCUGUUUUUAAUUGUUCAGAUUAUACAAAUCUAUUUCUACCAUCCAUAUUACACUUGUAUCACUAUCUCUUCGUCAAACUAGUGCACCUAUACAAUUGACAACUGUAUUGGGUGGGUUGGGGACACAAGAGACUCUUUGUAUUGUGAUCACAUGGUUGUUUGAGAGAGACCAUCUUCAUCCUACACCUUCAACUGAUUGAUAAGCCUUAGGUCAUCUACUUGAGGGAAAAUUCUUGAUGUCCUGUAGAACUCUGCGCUUGGAGGCCCAAUAGAGUCUACAAGAAUAAAGUUGCAUAGUAGGCAUCACGGGAUCACAAGCUUAAGGUAAUCACGAUCUUUUGAGUGUUAGUAGGAUGAGAGUAUCAAGGAUUUAUUUGUGGAAUUGUUUCAUUAAUAUCCAGAAUAGUUUCGAGAGGAACCAGAAGCGUUUCGGGGUCACCGGAAGGGUUUUUAGAGUUUAUCGGGCAAUACCAGGUAUUACCAAUAAACAAUAUAUAGGUGGAAAAUGUUUCCGGAGAUGUUAAAUUAAUAAUAAAAGACUCUAGUAAUUGCUAGAAGGCUUUUAUAUUUAAUUUAGUAUCAGCAGGCCUUAAAAGGCCAAGUAGUGGAGGGAGAAUUAGGCCACCAAGGCCCAUGUAGAGGAGGCUCCUAGGGCCGACGCAAGGAGGGAGGAUUCCUCCCCCUUGUGUGGCGCCUCCUCCUCCCCUCCCAACCUAUAUAUACUAGAGAUUUUGGUAGUAUUUGGACACACAACUUUUGGAGCCCCCUCUAGUCUUCUAGUUCUAGUGGAUUCAAGUUGAUCGAUUAGAGCUUGACCUAGAUCCUCUAAUCCUCAUAAUUAAAAGCCCUAUAUAGUUCUAAUCUCCUCCCUCUAAUUCUCCGGUGAUGAUUAGCUCUGGAUGGCGAAGCGUUGCCGGAUCAUGAAGACUGUACGCUUGCAACCAAGUAGAGAGGUCGUGCUUUUGGUCUUCUGUUCAAGGGAUCAUUCGAGGGCGGUUCGCGGGAUCGUCAUCAACAGUUCGAGGGACUCCAUGUACGAUCUACACCGACUCAUCUACUUCUGCUGCACUCCGGAGUCAGUAACAAUCGUGAUCCAAACCAUUUAUGCAUCUUCAUAUUGUUCAUGGGUGUUCGUAGGGCGGUUUUUUUCUUUUCUACUACGUUUCCCAACAAUAUCGUCUACAAAGCUUAUGACCUCCUCCAUCUCUUGCAAACCAGUUGUGAUGCCUUUAGUAGCAUACUAUCCUACAAGUUUCUUUUGACACAAAGAAAUAAGAUGUCCAAUUAUAUAUAGAACAUUUUAGUUACGAAGAAUAAUAUAGAGUUUACACGAAAUUACUACGUAUGGUAAGGAAAACUUACACAUACAAACUAUUGGAAGUGUGGGCAAAUGUACCAUGACAUAAAGCUGAGCUGUUCUGGCAGUAUCCAGGUAGUGCUCCAUCCCAACUUCAAACAUGUACGCUUUGGUCAAUCCUCUCCAACCAGGGCAACCAAAAAAGUUUGAUCUUUUUCUUUGUGAAAAAAACCCUGAAGUUAAAGCCCUCUUUUUUUCUCGAGGUGAGCCUCAAAUGUGGUUUCCUCAUCCAUGACCACAUUUAGUUUCUCCAAGAGUUCGGGCCUAGCGAAGCAGGGGAUGUUCCUGAGCAAAAUUAAAGGAAAACAAAAAAUAGAAAUUCCAAGGAGGGCGCCAAAAUUAAAAAACUAAUCAAAAAUUGAAAUGAAAGAGAGGAGUGGCCGAGAGGAGGGAGAAAUGGGGGGGGGGUUAAGAAGGAGAGAAGGAUGAAGUUAAAGAGGGGAGUAAAAAUUGAAAAGAGAGGAGGAAGAAGGAGGGUGAUAGGCGCAUAAGAUGUGAGAGCAGGUAAAUUGUUGAGCGAAGCCCAUAAUGGUGUGCCUAGUGUGAUGAACGCCACUAAUAAGCCACUUACUUGUGGCGUGCCGGCGCGCAACUUGUAAGUGAGACUUGCAUACGUUACUAGUGCGUGUGACAUUCUGUACGGCGCCACUAGUAUCGAGCUUAGUAGUGGCGUGCGGGCAAAUGUGCACACCAUUAAUAAGUGGGGUCCAAAAGUGGGACCGCACCAGUUACUACUAGUGUGCGCACCAGAGGCCAACAUCACUAGUAGUUACGUUACAAGUUGCGUGCCCGCGACAUCCAUGCCACUACUGGUGUGGUGUCCCAGUAUUGGGUCCCAUUUACUAGUGGUGUGCCUUUUGGCCAACAUGCCACUAGUAAAGAGUUAUUACUAUCAUGGACUUAUUUGCGCACGCCACUAAGGUUGCUCUUUUGGGGGAGCCACUAGAAAGGGUUCUUGUAUAAGGGUUUAAGCACUUGUGUCUUGCUAGUGCCACUUUUCUUGGCCGGUUUGAGUUCUAAAGUGUUAAGCAUAUCAGUUGUACAAAGUCAAACCAUUGUUCUAUGACGACAAAUGCCUGGCCACAGGCCACAUGUUUGUUUUGAUACGAGAAUGCAUGACAGCCACAUGCAGUGUACAAUAAUAAUUUUGAAAUUUCAUGGCAGAUUGGGCUGGCCAAAGGUGUUUGUCUCGGCUUUAGCUUUGAAUCAGCUAUGUAUUCACUAUGCUGGCAAAGCUGAUUUGACACAAUCAGCUUUGGCACUAAAGUACACCGGGAUGUGCUUCAGCCCAAAACACCGAAAAUAGCGUGAAUCACAUGUUAGCUGGUUUGAAAUAGUUGUUUGUUUCAUUUUCAACUUUUUCAAAGCUGAAUCUGGUCCAUAAAGUUGAAACAAACACCGUCUAAGUGUUGUUGUUGCAGCUUAUCAUCAGUUCAAUGAAGCUUGUGUUUUGGUGGGGGGGGGGGACGAUGCGUGCAUUUCAUAUCACAAUUUUACAAUAUUUGUAUACUUUGCAUUUUUGCUUUUUAAAUUUGGUUUUGUCACGUGGUUUCAUUGUUUUGAUAGUUUUUUUUCUCUUCGUGUUUUCUGUUUGCAAGGCAUUGAGUAAUGUACCAUAGUACUCCCUCCGUUUCGAAUUGCAUUUCAUGUCACAAUUUUACAAUAUUUGUAUACUUUGCAUUUUUGCUUUUUAAAUUUGGUUUUGUCACGUGGUUUCGUUGUUUUGAUAGUUUUUUUUCUCUUCGUGUUUUCUGUUUGCAAGGCAUCGAGUAAUGUACCAUAGUACUCCCUCCGUUUCAAAUUACUUGUCGCGGGUAUGAAUGUAUCUAGAUGUAUUUUAAUUCUAGAUACAUCCAUUUCUACGACGAGUAAUUUGGAACGGAUGGGAGUAUGAAACUAUUUAUAUAUUUGAAGCAGAGAUACGAUUACUAAUUAUGUAGUCUUGCAAAUUGACUGUUCAGGAAAACAUAAAAGGUCAUUCUCAUCAUCUUUUCAUUUGUCACUUCCCAUGGUGAGGGAAAACUGGUUAUGCAUGGGAAUUGCUGAUGAACGCAACAUUACAUUUGCAUAUCGCAGUGGUGUGCCGGGAUGACACGUCCGGGAAUGCUGUGCUGGGCCGGGCCAUGACCAAUGCACAUUUUAUUCGUAGCAACAGAGUGAAUCGUUUCAUAAUCCAAAAAUUGCAAAUUAAACCACAUCUCACUUGUAACCCAAAGCACGUCUGACAAAUAUUACAAUAUUUGUAUACUUUGCAUUUUUGCUUUUUAAAUUUGGUUUUGUCAUGUGGUUUCAUUGUUUUGAUAGUUUUUUUUCUCUUCGUGUUUUCUGUUUGCAAGGCAUUGAGUAAUGUACCAUAGUACUCCCUCCGUUUCGAAUUGCAUUUCAUGUCACAAUUUUACAAUAUUUGUAUACUUUGCAUUUUUGCUUUUUAAAUUUGGUUUUGUCACGUGGUUUCAUUGUUUUGAUAGUUUUUUUUUCUCUUCGUGUUUUCUGUUUGCAAGGCAUUGAGUAAUGUACCAUAGUACUCCCUCCGUUUCAAAUUACUUGUCGCGGGUAUGAAUGUAUCUAGAUGUAUUUUAAUUCUAGAUACAUCCAUUUCUACGACGAGUAAUUUGAAACGGGUGGGAGUAUGAAACUAUUUAUAUAUUUGAAGCAGAGAUACGAUUACUAAUUAUGUAGUCUUGCAAAUUGACUGUUCAGGAAAACAUAAAAGGUCAUUCUCAUCAUCUUUUCAUAUGUCACUUCCCAUGGUGAGGGAAAACUGGUUAUGCAUGGGAAUUGCUGAUGAACGCAACAUUACAUUUGCAUAUCGCAGUGGUGUGCCGGGAUGACACGUCCGGGAAUGCUGUGCCGGGCCGGGCCAUGACCAAUGCACAUUUUAUUCGUAGCAACAGAGUGAAUCGUUUCAUAAUCCAAAAAUUGCAAAUUAAACCACAUCUCACUUGUAACCCAAAGCACGUCUGACAAAUAUUGCAAAUAAAACCUGAACAUCGUACCAUCCGUGCUGACUGUAUAAAUUAAGGGAAUGUCUAGGGCACAUCUAGAUGUGCCCUACUUAUUGCACAUCUAAGUGAGUGAAUCAAGUAUGAAGAGGAAAAGAAAAAAGAAAAAGAAAAUAUCUACACGAAUCUCAACGUAAGAUCAAUGAUAUAGGACUUAGAUGUGCAAUACUUAUGGCACAUCUAGAUGUGCUUUAGCAAAACUGAUAAAUUAAAUGGUCGAAAAUUAACAGCUCUUAUUCCUGCUACAAAGCACAUAGUUUUGUUUGGAUCAGUGCGGACUUGGCAUGAUCCAAGAAGGCCACUGCCAGAAUCUACCACACAUGCACUUCAACAGGUUCCCGUACGAGAGAUCCUGGGUGGUGAGGUCGUCGAGGUCGAGCACCGAGACGGUGUACCUCCCAUAGACGUCCAGCCCGUAGUCGUCGUUCACCAUCUCGUGCGAGCUGGCCACGUACACGCAGUUCCUCCGCACCCCGUUGAGCCCGCCGGCCUCCACGCAGAAGCCGCGGAGAUGGUCCACGAACAGCGCGCGGUUGCCGAUGCCGCCGCCGGCGACCUCCGACCAUCCGGCCGCCAGGCCCCGGCUGUCCGCGCGGAAGACCUUGAAGAGGCCCCCCGAGCCGUAUGGUGCUACUUGGAACAAGAGGUGCGUCCUGACGAUGAGGAGCAGCUCGCCGGAGGACACGACGAGCGUGGACUCGGGUGUGCACCAAGCGUGUCUGGGCGACACCAGAUCUGGUGGCUCGACUACGGCGGUCACGGCGAAAGUUGCGGCGUCCACGGCCGUGACCCUGCGGGCUCGCCCGUCCAGAAGGUAAAACGUACCGUCGUCGUAGGUGAUGCUGCUGACGGCAGCCGUUUGCGAGGAUCCGGCGGCGCUCCAUGACCCGCCGUCGCCCGGCAGCUUGCAGAAGAACACGCCUUUGCCCGGCGAGAUCAUGACGGCGCCAGGGGACCGAUCCCAUACCAUGUCACGGAGGAUCUUCUCAUAUUCGCCGUGGAAGAAAGGCGGCAGCGCGGGCAGGCUCUCCGACGCGCCGGUGAAUGGUUGCAGCAGCGUGGCCGAGAGGUCGUUGGCCACGCCGAGCGUCCAGCCGCGGGGCGAGGCGAAAAGGAAGGAGCGGCCGCACGCGGCGGGCAUGGGGGUCUCCUUGAUGCUGUCGUCGGCGGGGGACCAGAGACGGCGGUCGGCGCGGGAGUAGCUCUGGGAGGGCAGGAGGAGCAGGGGGGCGCGGCGGCGCGCGGCGUGCUCCGCCGAGGCCGAGCGCCAAGAUGGGCACACCGAGCGGAAGCGCGCGAGGUCCACAUGCUCGGUGAUCCUGUCGGCGAUCCCGGCAACGAGCUCGGCUGGCAGGUCGGACCAGCUCAUAGUGUUGCCGCCUGCGAGCUUCUUGGAUUGAUGGAGGGUUGGAGGGGAUAGUCAACCAAGUCUUCUUCUCAGCAAGUCACUAUGAACACUAUGGAGUAGUUAAGAUCCCAUGUAUAGUAGUAGUAAUCACUAUGGACUCUAUGUCUAUCUUCCAGUUUAAACGUCUCUAAUUUACUUCUACAGCUGUAUCCUAGUGAUUGGCGUCAUCUUCCUGUAAACCAUGGUCGAUGCCUUUUUUUUAACUCAUGCGGCUUCCUAAUGGGUGAGAUCAAAACUUUUUUUCUUCAAGAACAAGCAACACAUUGCGUGUCAUUUUUAUCAUUAAGAAGGAAAAGAGUCAUUAUAGGCAAUUGGUGAUGAAUAAGAACAUGGUCUUGUUACACCAAAUGAAAUGGACAAGAACGGUCUCCGCCUAACCCACUAAGAGCAUCUCCAAUAGCAUAUACCUACUCCCUCCGUCCUAUAAAGCGUUUUUUACACUAGAUGGAGUAUAACUUAAGCCAAUAACCAAAAACCAUCAGUAUACGUUUUUGCAACAACAAAACUAGCUACACAAUAGAAGGUGUCCGUGUGGUGUCUAACUAGUACUCGGGUCUUACAUUAAGUUACAUGGGAGAUAAUUUAGCAACAUUGCAUCAUUGUAAUUUUCUCAACAGAACCUAGUCUUCUCUUCUUCAAUACUUCUUACUACAUUAAAUAGAUUGAUAUAAAGAGUUAUUUUGGAUUUCAUUAGUUUCUUGUGCAAGUUGUGUGUAUAUCUAGAGUUACUUUUCAUCUCUAUAAGUUCCUAGCCUUGUUUCCUAGGAUGGAGCAUGCUUCAUCCUAGCAGUUCAAGGUGACUAGGGAAAGCCGCAUUCCCUUCGAUCUUCAUCCUAGCGGAUUAAAUAGUUAAGAUCUCAUGUAGUAGUAAUCACUAUGGACUCGAUCUAUAUCUAUCUAUUCCAGUUUAAACCUUCCUAAUUUACUUCCACAGUUGUAUCCUAGUGAUUGGCGUCAUCUUCUUGUAAACCACGGUAGAUGCCUUUCUACCCUCAAUAAAUAAACUCGUGCGGCUUCCUAAUGGGCGGAUCUAAACCUUUUUUCAAGAACAAGCAGCACAUUGCCUGUCAUUUUCAUCAUUAAGAAUGAAGAAAGCCAUUACAAGCAACUGGUGAUGAAUAAGAACAUGGUCCUGUUACACCAAAUGAAAUGGACUAGAACGGCCUCCGCCUAACCCACUAAGAGCAUCUCCAAUAGCAUAUACCUAUAUCUUAAGCCAAUAAUCAAAAACCGUCAAUAUGAGUUUUUGCAACAACAAAACUAGCUCCAACACAAUAGAAGGUAUCCAUGUAGUGUCUAACUACUACUCGGGUCUUACAUUAAGUUACCGAGGUAGUAUUGAGUUAGACUAGAGAAGGAGAUGAUUUAGCAACAUAGCAUCUUCGUAAUUUUCCCAACAGAACCUAGUCUUCUCUUCUUCAAUACUUCUUACAUUAAUAGAUUAAUAGUACUAAUAUACAUGAGUUAUUUGGAUUUCAUUACUUUCUUGUGCAGAUUUUGUAUAUAUAUCUAGAGUUACUUUUCAUCUCUACAAUUUCCUAGCCUUGUUUCACAGGUGGAGCAUGCUUCAUCCUACCAGUUAACCUAAGUGACAAUCAUAUGUUCAGGACAUUAUAAAAUCAUAUAAACCAUUAUAAAAACAUAUAAACCAUUUCAACUCCAACACAAUUCAAAUUAAAAAUGUCUUGAUUGACUGGCCAGUUCAAAGGACCUCGACUUAGGGAUACUAGAUCAUUGGUGGCGCGCGUUGCCGCGCCCAUCCAUUUGUACAAUAGUAUGGUAGGUAAUUUGAACAAAUUCAUUAGUGGAAGUUAACAAAAUGUGGGAUGUUUUUAAAAAUGAUUGUACAAGCAAAAUACUAUACACCCUUAGGACAUCAUGUUCAAGCUGAUUGGACCGCCAGGAACGAUCGAAUCACACAAUCCGACAACCUAGAAAGAUGAAGGCAUGAGAGGGCUGGAAAGUGGGUCAGGUUUUUAGUGUCCUAAAUAUCAUAAUUCAGAUGCAAGAUAUUGAAGUGAAAAUUAAUAAUAAUUAUUAUAUAACAUCAUUGAAAUGAAUAAUUGCUGCAAAUUUUUCAUAUCAAAUGUAUCAUACAAUCUCAUAAACCAAAAGCUUACUCUCGGCUCUAAUCACAAUCUGCAAUUAGACUCCUGAAAUGCCAAGCUUCAAGAAACACUAUCAAACAUUUAACAUGCCUUAUUUUUUGCAAGUCAUUCUACCAUAUAAAGCAAUUAGUACAUCAUUCAAUGUUUCACAAACCCACAACUCCCCUUCAUAUACAACCAACACUCCAAUAUAACAGCAGUACCAUUAUUAUCAUCAAGCAACCUUCGUUCAUCCAAUGGACUGGAAGCACCAAAAUAUUGGGAGCCAAUGUGGUUUGUGAGGCAGCUGUCCCUGAACAUCUUUACCAUUCCAUUUGUUAAUCAAGUGUCUGGAAGAAUUAUACAUUACUAUUAUUAUGCGUUCACGGAAGAGUGUACAUUGCCAUCAUUCUCACAAAUAUUUUAAUGUAUGCUCAACCCUGCUUCCAAGAAACAAUCAUAGAGGCAAAUCCAGAAUUACAGAACAUAUGAUACAAGAAAUUUUGUAAUGGUAAGACACAUUAUGCAUAAGACGGUACUUGAAGCAAAUAUUUCAGCAAGUUAAAACAGUUCUAUAGAUACCUUGACAUCUUGGAAUGGUGCUAAACUUUAUAACUUAGGGAAAACUCAAUCACGGUCAGUUAUGACAAAAAUAUCUUGAAUUAAACCUCACUAAAGUGUGCAGCAUACGCAACCCUUUCUGAAAAAAGUGACAUGUAAAGUUGCUUUUGUAUGAUACAAAGUAGACAAAAACUAUUGUGUUUGUUGGCAAGGUUAACUGAAAUGUAUCCAGAGUGGAACUUAGUAAACCGCUGAAACUGUACAAACCGAAAAAUGUUGAACGUAUCCGCUCCAGGCAGUGAAUUAAUGUUAACUGGGCAUAUGUAGAGUUAUAAAGUAUAAAUGACCACUGGAAGCCUGCUGCUCAAAUUGUACUUUGCAGUUUGGCAUUCCGACAAUACUGUUAUAUCAAUAACCACAUAUGCAGUGUUCGAUGAGCAGGAAAUAAGUACUUACAUGAAAGGAACCAUGUAGUUCAAUUUUCUUCCAACUUCGCCAUCUAGAGCAAAGAAACCAUGAAGCUCUAUUGAGCAACCUUGGCCAUCAUGUACAUUAUAUUGAGGGUUUGAACAUUAAGGUGGAGCUGUACCAGCAACUAUGGAUUAAGAAGUCAAGAGAGAACAUAAUGUAUAACACCGGUAUAAUCAGUUUAGAAUGAGUGCACCUCUACUUCAUCAGCUAAAGCUACUUACAGAUUCUCAAUCUUUCAAAUGGACUACACAUACAACUAUGGGAUGCCCGUUCUACUUUCUAGUUGUUUAAUUGACCAUUAUUUGAGAAGCCUAAACAGAGAAACUACAACAAUUAACUAAUGAAAAAUUGGGCACAUAAUAUGUUGUAAAAGAGUUCACGACUUUUCUAUGGGAAAUCAUCCAGUACUUAUUUUGGUCCGCUUAUAUUUGACUUAAUUGUUCGGCCAAACACAAACAAUAAGAACCAAAGAAGAACGGCAGAAAAGAAAAGUCACCUUAGUUUUUAGUUUCUCCCACAACGUCAUCUAUUGAUACAUGGAGCUUGAACCAAACCAAGCCCUGGCACACCAAGAAGAAGCGCAACCUUCACCAAUAGCCGCAUAAACCGAAUAAUUUGCUAGGAACAGGACAACUGUUGGGGAACGUAGUAAUUUCAAAAAAUUUCCUACGCACACGCAAGAUCAUGGUGAAGCAUAGCAACGAGAGGGGAGAGUGUGAUCUAUGUACCCUUGUAGAUCGACGCGGAAGCGUUGACGCAACGUAGAGGAAGUAGUCGUACGUCUUCCCGGUCCAACCGAUCCAAGCACCGUUACUCCGGCACCUCCGAGUUCUUGACACACGUACAGCUCGAUGACGCACCCCGAGCUCCGAUCCAGCAAAGCUUCGGGGAGGAGUUUCGUCAGCACGACAGCGUGGUGACUAUCUUGAUGUUUAACCGUCGUAGGGCUUCGCCUAAGCACCGCUACAAUAUGAUCGAGGUGUAAUAUCGUGGAGGGGGGCACCGCACACGGCGAAGGAACGAUUACGAAGAUCAACUUGUGUGUCCUAGGGUGCCCCCUUGCCCCCGUAUAUAAAGAAGCCAAGGGGGGUGCGGCCGGCCCUAGCAGGAGGCGCGCAGGAGGAGUCCUACUCCUACUGGGAGUAGGACUCCCCUCCCUUUCCUUGUCCAAGUAGGAGAGGGGGAAGGAAGGGAGAGAGGAGAGGAAGGAAAGGGGGGGGCGCCGCCCCUCCCUCCUUGUCCAAUUCGGACUAGGGGGAGAGGGGGCGCGCGGCCUGCCCUGGCUGCCUUUCCUCUUCUCCACUUUAGGCCCAUGAGGCCCAUUAACCCCCCGGGGGGUUCUGGUAACCCCCCGGUUCUCCGGUUUUAUCCGAAACUUCCCCGGAACACUUCCGGUGUCCGAAUAUAGCCGUCCAAUAUAUCAAUAUUUAUGUCUCGACCAUUUCGAGACUCCUCGUCAUGUCCGUGAUCACAUCUGGGACUCCGAACAACCUUCGGUACAUCAAAAUACAUAAACUCAUAAUGAAACUGUCAUCGUAACUUUAAGCGUGCGGACCCUACGGUUCGAGAACAAUGUAGACAUGACCGAGACACGUCUCCGGUCAAUAACCAACAGCGGGACCUGGAUGCCCAUAUUGGCUCCUACAUAUUCUACGAAGAUCUUUAUCAGUCAGACCGCAUAACAACAUACGUUGUUCCCUUUGUCAUCGGUAUGUUACUUGCCCGAGAUUCGAUCGUCGGUAUCCAAUACCUAGUUCAAUCUUGUUACCGGCAAGUCUCUUUACUCAUUCCGUAAUACAUCAUCCCGCAACUAACUCAUUAGUUGCAAUGCUUGCAAGGCUUAAGUGAUGUGCAUUACCGAGAGGGCCCAGAGAUACCUCUCCGACAAUCGGAGUGACAAAUCCUAAUCUCGAAAUACGCCAACCCAAUGUACCUUUGGAGACACCUGUAGAGCACCUUUAUAAUCACCCAGUUAUGUUGUGACGUUUGGUAGCACACAAAGUGUUCCUCCGGCAAACAGGAGUUGCAUAAUCUCAUAGUCAUAGGAACAUAAGUCAUGAAGAAAGCAAUAGCAACAUAAUAAACGAUCGGGUGCUAAGCUAAUGGAAUGGGUCAUGUCAAUCAGAUCAUUCACCUAAUGAUGUGAUCCCGUUAAUCAAAUAACAACUCUUUGUCCAUGGUUAGGAAACAUAACCAUCUUUGAUUAACGAGCUAGUCAAGUAGAGGCAUACUAGUGACACUCUGUUUGUCUAUGUAUUCACACAUGUAUUAUGUUUCCGGUUAAUACAAUUCUAGCAUGAAUAAUAAACAUUUAUCAUGAUAUAAGGAAAUAAAUAAUAACUUUAUUAUUGCCUCUAGGGCAUAUUUCCUUCAGUCUCCCACUUGCACUAGAGUCAAUAAUCUAGUUCACAUCGCCAUGUGAUUUAACAUCAAUAGUUCACAUCACCAUGUGAUUAACACCCAUAGUUCACAUCGACUUGUGACCAACACCCAAAGGGUUUACUAGAGUCAAUAAUCUAGUUCACAUCGCUAUGUGAUUAACACCCAAAGAGUACUGAGGUGUGAUCAUGUUUUGCUUGUGAGAGAAGUUUAGUCAACGGGUCUGCCACAUUCAGAUCUAUAAGUAUUUUGCAAAUUUCUAUGUCAACAAUGCUCUGCAUGGAGCUACUCUAGCUAAUUGCUCCCACUUUUAAUAUGUAUCCAGAUUGAGACUUAGAGUCAUCUGGAUCAGUGUCAAAACUUGCAUCGACGUAACCCUUUACGAUGAACCUUUUGUCACCUCCAUAAUCGAGAAACAUAUCCUUAUUCCACUAAGGAUAAUUUUGACCAAUGUCCAGUGAUCUAUUCCUAGAUCACUAUUGUACUCCCUUGCCAAACUCAGGGCAGGGUAUACAAUAGGUCUGGUACACAGCAUGGCAUACUUUAUAGAACCUAUGGCUGAGGCAUAGGGAAUGACUUUCAUUCUCUCUCUAUCUUCUGCCGUGGUCGGGUUUUGAGUCUUACUCAACUUCACACCUUUGUAACACAGGCAAGAACUCCUUCUUUGACUGUUCCAUUUUGAACUACUUCAAAAUCUUGUCAAGGUAUAUACUCAUUGAAAAACUUAUCAAGCGUCUUGAUCUAUCUCUAUAGAUAUUGAUGCUCAAUAUGUAAGCAGCUUCACCGAGGUCUUUCUUUGAAAAACUCCUUUCAAACAUUCCUUUAUGCUUUGCAAAAUAAUUCUACAUUAUCUCGAUCAACAAUAUGUCUUUCACAUAUACUUAUCAGAAAUGUUGUAGUGCUCCCACUCACUUUCUUGUAAAUACAGGCUUCACCGCAAGUCUGUAUAAAACUAUAUGCUUUGAUCAACUUAUCAAAGCGUAUAUUCCAACUCCGAGAUGUUUACACCAGUCCAUAGAUGGAUCGUUGGAGCUUGCAUAUUUUGUUAGUACCUUUAGGAUUGACAAAACCUUCUGGUUGCAUCAUAUACAACUCUUCUUUAAUAAAUCCAUUAAGGAAUGCAGUUUUGUUUAUCCAUUUGCCAGAUUUCAUAAAAUGUGGCAAUUGCUAACAUGAUUCGGACAGACUUAAGCAUAGAUAUGAGUGAGAAAAUCUCAUCGUAGUCAACACCUUGAACUUGUCAAAAACCUUUUGCGACAAUUCUAGCUUUGUAGAUAGUAACACUACUAUCCGUAUCCGUCUUCCUCUUGAAGAUCCAUUUAUUACCAAUGGCUUGCCGAUCCUCGGGCAAGUCCACCAAAGUCCACACUUUGUUCUCAUACAUGGAUCCUAUCUCAGAUUUCAUGGCCUCAAGCCAUUUAUCGGAAUCUGGGCUCAUCAUCGCUUCCUCAUAGUUCGUAGGUUCGUCAUGGUCAAGUAACAUGACCUACAGAAUAGGGUUACCGUACCACUCUAGUGCGGAUCUCAUUUUGGUUUACCUACGAGAUUCGAUAGUAACUUGAUUUGAAGUUACAUGAUCAUCAUCAUUAGCUUCCUCACUAAUUGGUGUAGUAGUCACAGGAACAGAUUUCUGUGAUGAACUACUUUUCAACAAGGGAGCAGGUACAGUUACCUCAUCAAGUUCUACUUUCCUCCCACUCACUUCUUUCGAGAGAAACUCCUUCUCCAGAAAGUUUCCGAAUUUAGCAACAAAAGUCUUGCCUUCGGAUCUGUGAUAGAAGGUGUACCCAACAAUAACUUUUGGGUAUCCUAUGAAGACACACUUUUCCGAUUUGGGUUUGAGCUUAUCAGGAUGAAACUUUUUCACAUAAGCAUUGCAACCCCAAACUUUGAGAAACGACAACUUUGGUUUUUUGCCAAACCACAGUUCAUAUGGUGUCGUCUCAACAGAUUUAGAUGGUGCCCUUUUAACGUGAAUGCAGCUGUCUCUAAUGCAUAACCCCAAAACGAUAGUGGUAGAUCGGUAAGAGACAUCAUAGAUUGCACUAUAUCCAAUAAAGUACGGUUAUGACGUUCGGACACACCAUUAUGCUGUGGUGUUCCAUGUGGCAUGAGUUUGUGAAACUAUUCCACAUUGUUUUAAUUGAGGACCAAACUCGUAACUCAAAAAUUUGUCUCCGCGAUCAGAUCGUAGAAACUUUAUUUUCUUGUCACGAUGAUUUUCCACUUCACUCUGAAAUUCUUUGAACUUUUCAAAUGUUUCAGACUUAUGUUUCAUCAAGUAGAUAUACCCAUAUCUGCUCAAAUCAUCUGUGAAGUUCAAAAAAUAGCGAUACUUGCCGUGAGCCUUAACACUCAUCGGACCGCAUACAUCAGUAUGUAUUAUUUCCAAUAAGUCAAUUGCUCGCUCCGGAGAACGGAGUCUUAGUCAUCUUGCCCAUGAGGCAUGGUUCGCAAGUCAAGUGAUUCAUAAUCAAGUGAUUCCAAAAUCCCAUCAGCAUGGAGUUUCUUCAUGUGCUUUACACCAAUAUGACCUAAACGGCAGUGCCACAAAUAAGUUGCACUAUCAUUAUUAACUUUGCAUCUUUUGGUUUCAAUAUUAUGAUUAUGUGUAUCACUACGAUCGAGAUCCAACGAACUAUUUUCAUUGGGUGUGUGACCAUAUAAGGUUUUAUUCAUGUAAACAGAACAACAAUUUAUUCUCUUACUUAAAUGAAUAACCGUAUUACAAUAAACAUGAUCAAAUCAUAUUCAUGCUCAACGCAAACACCAAAUAACACUUAUUCAGGUUCAACACUAAUCCCGAAAGUAUAGGGAGUGUGCGAUGAUGAUCAUAUCAAUCUUGGAACCACUUCCAACACACAUCGUCACUUCACCCUCAACUAGUCUUUAUUCUGCAACUCCCAUUUCGAGUUACAAAUCUUAGCAACUGAACUAGUAUCAAAUACUGAGGGGUUGCUAUAAACACUAGUAAAGUACACAUCAAUAACAUGUAUAUCAAAUAUACUUAUGUUCACUUUGCCAUCCUUCUUAUCUGCCAAUCACUUGGGGUAGUUCCGCUUCCAGUGACCAGUCCCUUUGCAGUAGAAGCACUUAGUCUCAGGCUUAGGAUCAGACUUGGGCUUCUUCACUUGAGCAGCAACUUGCUUGCUAUUCUUUUUGAAGUUCCCCUUCUUCCCUCUGCCCUUUUCUUGAAACUAGUGGUCUUGUCUACCAUCAACACUUGAUGUUUUUAUCGAUUUCUACCUUCAUCAAUUUCCGCAUUACGAAGAGCUUGGGAAUCGUUUUCGUUAUCCCUUGCAUAUCAUAGUUCAUCACGAAGUUCUACUAACUUGGUGAUGCUGACUAGAGAAUUCUAUCAAUCACUAUCUUAUCUGGAAGAUUAACUCCCACUUGAUUCAAGUGAUUGUAGUACUCAGACAAUCUGGGCACAUGCUCACUAGUUGAGCGAUUCUCCUCCAUCUUUUAGCUAUAGAACUUGUUGGAGACUUCAUAUCUCUCAACUCGGGUAUUUGCUUGAAAUAUUAACUUCAACUCCUGGAACAUCUCAUAUGUUCCAUGACGUUCAAAAUGUCUUUGAAGUCCCGAUUCUAAGCCAUUAAGCAUGGUGCACUAAACUAUCAAGUAGUCAUCAUAUUAUGCUAGCCAAACGUUCAUAACGUCUGCAUCUGCUCCUGCAAUAGGUCUGUCACCUAGCGGUGCAUCAAGGACAUAAUUCUUCUAUGCAACAAUGAGGAUAAACCUCAGAUCACGGAUCCAAUCCGCAUCAUUGCUACUAACAUUUUUCAACACAAUUUUCUCUAGGAACAUAUCAAAAUAAACACAGGGAAGCAACAACGCGAGCUAUUGAUCUACAACAUAAUUUGCAAAAUACUACCAGGACUAAGUUCAUGAUAAAUUUAAGUUCAAUUAAUCAUAUUACUUAAGAACUCCCACUUAGAUAGACAUCCCUCUAAUCCUCUAAGUGAUCACGUGAUCCAAAUCAACUAAACCAUGUCCGAUCAUCACGUGAGAUGGAGCAGUUUCAUUGGUGAACAUCACUAUGUUGAUCAUAUCUACUAUAUGAUUCACGCUCGACCUUUCGGUCUCCGUGUUCCGAGGCCAUAUCUGUAUAUGCUUGGCUCAUCAAGUAUAACCUGAGUAUUCCGCGAGUGCAACUGUUUUGCACCCGUUGUAUUUGAACGUAGAGCCUAUCACACCCGAUCAUCACGUGGUGUCUCAGCACGAAGAACUUUCGCAACGGUGCAUACUCAGGGAGAACACUUCUUGAUAAUUAGUGAGAGAUCAUCUUAAAAUGCUACCGUCAAACUAAGCAAAAUAAGAUGUAUAAAAGAUAAACAUCAUAUGCAAUCAAAAUAUGUGACAUGAUAUGGCCAUCAUCAUCUUGCGCCUUUGAUUUCCAUCUCCAAAGUACUGUUAUGAUCUCUAUCGUCACCGGCAUGACACCAUGAUCUCCAUCAUCUUGAUCUAUAUCAAUGUGUCAUCAUGUGGUCGUCUCGCCAACAAUUGCUCUUGCAACUAUUGCUAUCGCAUAGCGAUAAAGUAAAGCAGUUAUUGGGCGCUUGCAUCUUAUGCAAUAGAGAGACAACCAUAAGGAUUUUGCCAGUUGCCGAUAACUUCAACAAAACAUGAUCAUCUCAUACAACAACUUAUAUCUCAUCACGUCUUGACCAUAUCACAUCACAACAUGCCCUGCAAAAACAAGUUAGACGUCCUCUACUUUGUUGUUGCAAGUUUUACGUGGCUGCUACGGGCUUAACAAGAACCGUUCUUACCUACGCAUCAAAAACCACAACGAUAGUUUGUCAAGUUGGUGAUGUUUUAACCUUCGCAAGGACCGGGCGUAGCCACACUCGGUUCAACUAAAGUUGGAGAAACUAACACCCGCCAGCCACCUGUGUGCAAAGCACGUCGGUAGAACCAGUCUCGCGUAAGCAUACGCGUAAUGUCGGUCCGGGCCGCUUCAUCCAACAAUACCGCCGAACCAAAGUAUGACAUGCUGGUAAGCAGUAUGACUUAUAUCGCCCAUAACUCACUUGUGUUCUACUCGUGCAUAUAACAUCAACACAUAAAACCUAGGCUCUGAUACCACUGUUGGGGAACGUAGUAAUUUCAAAAAAUUUCCUACGCACACGCAAGAUCAUGGUGAUGCAUAGCAACGAGAGGGGAGAGUGUGAUCUACGUACCCUUGUAGAUCGACGCGGAAGCGUUGACGCAACGUAGAGGAAGUAGUCGUACGUCUUCCCGGUCCAACUGAUCCAAGCACCGUUACUCCGGCACCUCCGAGUUCUUGACACACGUACAGCUCGAUGACGCACCCCGGGCUCCGAUCCAGCAAAGCUUCGGGGAGGAGUUUCGUCAGCACGACGGCGUGGUGACUAUCUUGAUGUUUAAUCGUCGUAGGGCUUCGCCUAAGCACCGCUACAAUAUUAUCGAGGUGUAAUAUCAUGGAGGGGGGCACCACACACGGCUAAGGAACGAUCACGAAGAUCAACUUGUGUGUCCUAGGGUGCCCCCUUGCCCCCGUAUAUAAAGGAGCCAAGGGGGGGUGCGGCCGGCCCUAGCAGGAGGCGCGCAGGAGGAGUCCUACUCCUACUGGGAGUAGGACUCCCCUCCCUUUCUUUGUCCAAGUAGGAGAGGGGGAAGGAAGGGAGAGAGGAGAGGAAGGAAAGGGGGGGCGCCGCCCCUCCCUCCUUGUCCAAUUCGGACUAGGGGGAGAGGGGGCGCGCAGACUGCCCUCGCUGCCUUUCCUCUUCUCCAUUUUAGGCCCAUGAGGCCCAUUAACCCCCGGGGGGUUCCGGUAACCCCCUGGUUCUCCGGUUUUAUCCAAAACUUCCCCGGAACACUUCCGGUGUCCGAAUAUAGCCGUCCAAUAUAUCAAUCUCUAUGUCUCGACCAUUUCGAGACUCCUCGUCAUGUCCGUGAUCACAUCCGGGACUCCGAACAACCUUCGGUACAUCAAAAUACAUAAACUCAUAAUGAAACUGUCAUCGUAACUUUAAGCGUGCGGACCCUACGGUUCGAGAACAAUGUGGACAUGACCGAGACACGUCUCCGGUCAAUAACCAACAGCGGGACCUGGAUGCCCAUAUUGGCUCCUACAUAUUCUACGAAGAUCUUUAUCGGUCAGACCGCAUAACAACAUACGUUGUUCCCUUUGUCAUCGGUAUGUUACUUGCCCGAGAUUCGAUCGUCGGUAUCCAAUACCUAGUUCAAUCUCGUUACCGGCAAGCCUCUUUACUCGUUCCGUAAUACAUCAUCCCGCAACUAACUCAUUAGUUGCAAUGCAUGCAAGGCUUAAGUGAUGUGCAUUACCGAGAGGGCCCAGAGAUACCUCUCCGACAAUCGGAGUGACAAAUCCUAAUCUCGAAAUACGCCAACCCAACAUGUACCUUUGGAGACACCUGUAGAGCACCUUUAUAAUCACCCAGUUACGUUGUGAUGUUUGGUAGCACACAAAGUGUUCCUCCGGCAAACGGGAGUUGCAUAAUCUCAUAGUCAUAGGAACAUGUAUAAGUCAUGAAGAAAGCAAUAGCAACAUACUAAAUGAUCGGGUGCUAAGCUAAUAGAAUGGGUCAUGUCAAUCAGAUCAUUCACCUAAUGAUGUGAUCCCGUUAAUCAAAUAACAACUCUUUGUCCAUGGUUAGGAAACAUAACCAUCUUUGAUUAACGAGCUAGUCAAGUAGAGGCAUACUAGUGACACUCUGUUUGUCUAUGUAUUCACACAUGUAUUAUGUUUCCGGUUAAUACAAUUCUAGCAUGAAUAAUAAACAUUUAUCAUGAUAUAAGGAAAUAAAUAAUAACUUUAUUAUUGCCUCUACGGCAUAUUUCCUUCAACAACCAUAGGAGCAAACAAUAGUGUGGCAUUUAUGUGCAUGAGUACACUAUAAAGAGAGUCAUAAUUCGAGACAUCAUAAGAAAUUCAGAGAGGAAAUGCACAAAUAACUCACCGUUGUUUGACACUUAAAAGAUAAUCUUGCUGUCGAAACCUAGCAAUGCUUGAGGCUUGAAGAAUUUCUUCCUUGCUAGUUGAAACUGAAGACCUGACAAUCAAAUUAUGUUAGUUCGGUUCUUCGGUAAAAAAUGAUUAAAAUGGUUCAAGGAGAGAAAGGUGCAAUAAAAAGAAGUUUGAUCAGCUUGAUUAACAAAGUAGUAGUGGCAUUUAUCUAUCACUAAAGCAGCAACUUAAACUAAGUAAUAAAAAUGGUACACCAGAAUACACAAAGCAACGAAUUUGCACAUUUGUUAUACCAAUAACUCAUGCUAGCAAGUUGUUGUGCCUGUCUAUUUGUAAUGUUGAAUGUUAGGGGUUGACAAUUAUUACAAAGAAGAUUGUAUUGGAUAGUGCAUUUUCUUUAUGCAGAACAAUCGUGGAUAUUGCCUGUCAUUGCCAGGCUAUCAAAAAGGACGACAUAAAUAGUAUUGCUAAAAGAUGUUGAAUUUAACAACAAACUCACAUGGUAUGUAAAUUACAAAGAAUUUUUUUCUCCCUUCUAGAUUGAUUAAUUGUACCUGGAAUCGAACCUACAUCCUUUUCCAUCUACAAAUACAGAAAAGGAAAGAGUAUCAUGACAUGGAUAGAGAAUCGUGUCUAAACAACAGGAACAUAUUAAGAAAGGAGAGUUGAGUACACUAAUUAUUAAAGGAAAGUUUAAUUAUAAAUUGUCUCUUACAUGUAGUGAUGUCUAACAUAAUUAGAUAUUUGCAUAACCUUUCUUCCCCCUUUCCUUGUGCUAUCUUGAUUAGGAACUAUAAGAUCUUCCACAAUUGUGUUACUAUGCAUAUGGCAGUUCUCUAGUUAGUUAUUCAGCAAGCAUAUCCAAUACUAUAACAAUAAAAGUUGUCACAUGGAACUAAAGGAAUCUCUAACAAGAAAAUAUCAAUUUCGGUAUAGUAACCAAAGAUGAGUCAAAAUCGCCAGAUUUGUUACAGCUUAGAAUCGCUAGAUUUGUUACAUUGGACAAGGAAAAGGGAGUGGUCCUGGCCAAUUGAAGACUUAGGGCAUGGCCAAUGCAUAGCCCUAGGGUGAUGCCACACAUGUCAUGUAGGAUCGAAUGACAGAAAAAGUAGGUUCGGAUGGGGAAGCAGGAUCCUCUCUAGGAGGCGGGUGCUUAGAGAGAAAAGUGUGGUCCGUGCAUAAAGUUGGAAAAAGUUGAAGUGAAGAGGAGGGAUGCAUGUGUAGUGAGAGUCAUUUUUUUAUGAGGCCCACUAUUAGUAGUUUGCAUUGGGAAGAAAAAAUCAACACAUGUGCCUCAAAUUACUUUUUGUUAUGAGGCAUAUGUAUCCAUAUGCCACCAUUGUACAUGCCCUUAUAGAGAUGGGGAUAACCUAAUCUAAUACCGGAACUACGCCCUACCCCCACUAACAAAUCGCUGAAAACUUUUGGAAAGAUCAGAGCUACAACCAAUUUAAGACUUAUUGAGACAAGGCGAUCCGAAUCGUGAAUCCCCUCGGGUGCCUCGGCUGGAUCCCCUCGCGCGCAUCGCCUCGGCUGGAUCCCCUAUCGCGCCUCAGCUCGGGUUGAUCCCCUCGGUUGCCUCAGCAAGAUCCAUGCAGACUGCAUGCAUCCUCUAUAUCCCACAGCGCAUGCAUCUUCUGUAUCCAGCUGUUGGGGAGAUCGGGAGCGAGGACACACGGGGCAGCAUCUUCCUACCAUGACGACGUGGGGGCAGACGGCUGCGGUGCAAGGCGGCGGUCGCUGCUAGAGAGAAAGAUGAAGGGGAUCUAGUCGAAGCGGGUGACGGUUGAGAGACGCGAGGGUCGAUCCAGCCACCGCUGGUGAUGCGGGGUCGAUCGUGUGGACUGGGCUUCCAUAACAGCCCAGUUAAGCCCAAUCAACCACAGACCUCGAAAAAGUCAUGAGACUAGCAGCCCAUCAGGACAGAUGGCCCAGGUCGCGGGAAAGUCGCAAUGGAACGACGAUCUGAUGGCCAGAAUUGAUCCAAACCGAAAUCCAACGGCCAAAAUCGCCGAUGGCUUGAGAGAGCUCACUUUAGGCUCAGUUUUACUGUCCUUAAUGAUGAAUUGAUGAUGUUUGGCGGAAUUUGUAUCUCUAAUAAUAAUGAAGCUAUUGCUUCUGGUGGUACGUCACGGAAAUUGGCCCCAAGUUGCAAAAUAUUACCCAUCAAUGUCACUUAAUUUUUUUGAGAAAGUGCACACUAUAUUACUUAAGGAACAAAGUCAAGAAUAAACAAGAAUUCUGGCCGCCACCAGCCACAUAUGACGACCAAAAUCUAAAAACAGAGUUGCCUAGCCAGGUUGUGUGCUUGAGUGUUAUGAUCUCACGCCUCAUGUGUGAUCUAUGCUUCGAGAAACUCCAUCUUCUUCUCCAUUGUAUCGUUGAUGGUCACACAGUUCCGUCCUAAGUAGGAUCCCUAAAGAUGCUUGACAGUUGUAAGACGGUCAGUAGCGAUCUGAAUUUUGUUCAGAACUAAAUCACUAGCCAGGGCAAGUCCUUCUCCACAUGCCAUAGCUUCCAAAGUCUCUGGGUCGUCCUGGCCUCUGAAGAUUUGCAUCGACCAGCCAAACCAAACUGCAGCGUCAACAUUAAUUUUGUGGAAACCUAGUGCUCUGCGUCAACACAAAUAUCACCUAAAGUGAUAAAAAAAUGUUCCACAUAGGGGAAUCCCCCGCCUGGGCCGGUCCAUGCAGUAGGGACCUCCUAUACUGCGCUCUGCGUGCUCGGAGAAGACGCAACGCGCCCGAUUGGGCCGGCCCAUGAUCGGGCGGCCUGUUUUUUUAAAAAAAUCAUUUUUUUGUUUCCGUUUAUGUUUUUUACUUUAAAUAAUUUGGGACACAAAAAAAUUUCCGAACUUUAAAAAAUAGAAUUUUGAAAUAAAAUGUUUAAUAAAUCAUAAAAUGUUCGUGAUUUUUUGUAAAAAAAAUGUUGCUUAUUCAAAAAAUGUUCACAUUUUGAAAACAAAUGUUCGGGAAAUCAAAAAAUGUUUAUGAUUUUUUAAGAAGUUCGUGCAUUGAAGAAGUUAAUGAAAUAGAACAAAAUAUCAUCAAUUAAAAAAAUGUUCAUGAAUAUAAAAAUAUCCUAAAAAUUCAAAAAUAGUUCGGGGGUUACAAAAUAGUUUAUUCAUUGAUAAAUGUUCGCUGAUUCAAAAAAGGAUCAUUCAUUUCAAAAAAAUGUAAAAUUAAAAAAAAUGAUCAUGAACUUCAAAAUAUGUUCCACCAAUUUCCCAAAAAAAUGUUCGUCAAUUCUAGAAUUUUUAAAAAAUGCUUGCGAAUAAUAUAAAAUGUUGAUGAAUUCAAAAAAUAUUCAAAAUUUUGUAAUAAUGUUCACGAAUUUGAAAAAUGUUCACAAUUUCAUGAGUGCACGAGUUUUAAAAAAGUUUAUGAUUUAAAAAAUUGUUUAUGAUUUCACGAAAUUGAGAGUGAUAGUGGAUCUCGAUUAUGCUGACUCUUUUGAUUAUGAUUUUUUUUCUUCCAUUGCAACACACGGGCCCUUUUGCUGGAAAACUAGUGGACUUGUGCUUGAUGGUUUCAUUAGAAGUUGGUGAGAUGACACUCUUUCAAGUCAACCAUUAGUAAGCUACAAAUAAACGACAUAAAUGCAUUCUGCAAAUUAAGAGAAAAGCUAAAAUGAGUAGGAAAUCAAGCUACCAAUGAAAACAAAGAAAAUACAACUUAAAACACCAACCAGAAGGCACAUGUAUGAAGGACCCACAUGCGUGAUAACAUAGACUAUAAACUACAUAACAUUGACCACAUGUGCAAUAAUAUAAACUGAAGAACACAUAGACACCAUUACUUCUGCCGCACACAAAAGAAAACAAGACAAAAGUCAGCAUUACACACUUAGUGCAUCAACCUCUGUAUUAUCAAAACCAUCAACAGGAAAGGGUCUCAUCAUUCAACAGGCUCAAUUUAAUCAAUAAUGUUGAAAUAUAUGAUUUUUGGCUGACAUCAAUCUAUGCCAGGCUUAGAGAUGAGAGGAAAUGUGGAAGUAUAUUGUUCAUAAUUCUAUAACAAUUAUAGUUGUCGGCGAACUAGCUAGUGCAAGGACAACAUUUGUAACAGUGGGGUGUGGUACUAAGCCUUAUCAAGGAGAUCAAAAGUUUAAUGACAACAAAUUAACCUCCCUUUUCUCCAAAUGCAUCAUAGAAAAACCAAAGGAUUUAUGGGUUUCUUACCGUAAUUCCUCCCAGGUUCUUAUCACAGUUGAUAAAAUAAAGAGUACUGCACCAUAAAACAUAUAGUUGAAGGACACCCACCGACAAAAGUUAACAAACCAUACACUUGGAUGCCUCCAAAGAUGUUCAUUUACCAAAGACUCCAAGAAAAUCAUCAAGGGCUCCACUACAAAUCUGAAGUUAGAUCGUUUACCAUGGCAAAUCGACCGCUCUCCAUGACAAAAUUAUACUCAUCGAAGAUGGCAUGUGUAGCUGGAGAGCAUGGCAAAUCUGCUUUAGUUCAUUUCUGUCAAAAAAUUGCCAUUAUUACAAACUAAAUUGCCAUCAUCGUGCUAAUAUAAAUUGCCAUAAAAAACAUCAUAUUUGCCAUGCCUAAAAAAUCUACGUCGGAUUUUUAGUGUUCCCAAUCAUCAAUGGUGUCAUUUCUAAAGACAAAGCUCUACCUCAAGGCUCAACCUGGAUAACAAUUUUGACAAAUCUGAAAUGAUGGUAGACAUAAUAAAUGUGACAGAGUAAAACAUUAUGACAUCUCAACCAUUAGAGAAUUCAACUGUACAAUUAAGACAAGAGAGAACCCAAAAGAAGAAAACCGAAAAUAACAAGCAUACGACCAGCAAGUGUGGUCGCUGCAUAUAUUCCUGUCGCUGCAACUUAUGCUAUCUGACAUCUUCAUAACUCUUUACAUAAAUACAAUCUAAAAGAUAUAAUUAAGACAUGCAUGAAACAGGACAUAAUUGUACCCAUUUACUAUAUUCGUCAAUUUAGCACUAGUUGCGACAUACAAUUCAUGUACAUAUGUUGCCAUAAUCUAGGAAUCAAUCUUAUCUCAAAUGGAAGAAGAUAUAUGUCACCAUGUCAUCUAAUUAACCAUUUUCAAAAUUAUAUGUUCUCAACAACACGAAAUAACAGACCUUUAAAGUAAUAUCAUCGAUCAACUAACCAAAUGCAAACCAAGUCUCAUAAAAAAAAGUUUUAAUGCAAACAUAAGGGAUACUUGAUUUGAUUUCUAUAAGCACCAUUUGCCACCUACCCGUUAAACCAGCAUAACAAGAAUCAAUUGUGCAACCACAUAAUGUUCCAAAUUUCAGUUACAAGCUAUAAGGUUUACACUUCAAAAUGUGAACAUUAUCAUGUGAGACAAUAUCUUCCCAACAAUCCAUACCCCAACAUCUUUCUGCUGCAAACAACCAAAUAACCAAACAUGCCCAAAGCAACCAAAUGAACUCAAGAAUCAGUAUAAGCAUGCAGCAAAACCACAAAUAGACAAUCAAAAUACCCCCUUAAUAUUUCAAAUCUUCACAAUCUUACUACAAACUGGCAUUUCAUGAGUAUAUGCAACAAACUUUGUAUUACAAAAUAAUGAACCAUUAUAACAGAUCGUUGAUUAACCAAUUGAAAUGAAAACAAGGACUCGUAAGAAAAGGUUGAAAUGCAGACAGAGUGAACACCUAACUUUGAUUUCUAUCAGCACCAGGACUGACAUUUUUGCAGCCUACCAGUUGAAUCGACAUAACAAGAAUUCAACAGCACAGCCACUCGAUGGCCUAUUCCGAUCACAAGGUUUUCACUUAGAAACUCAAACAUUAUCAAGUGAUAGGAACAUCCCCCCAAUGAUCCACACCCCACCCCAAUAGCUUUCCUCCAAGGCUGCAAAGAAGCUAAACAUGCCCAAAGCAACCAGAUAAACACAAGAAAUCGUUCUUAGCGUGCAGCAAAAGAGAACAAUCAGAAUAGUAGUCCUUGAUAUUUUCACAUCUUCACAAUUUUAUUACAAACAGACAUUCACAGUUUCUCUUCCCCUCCCUCCCUUUCCUUCACCUACGCACUUAAACGAACAUACAUACAGCGGUGUUAAUCAGGCUACAGAGUACAAGCUGAUUGGCACCUAUGCGGAAGCCACGCAAAACAAGUUCAAACAAGCAGCAAUCGAUCCAUGACAACGAUGGCAUGCGGCAACGACGACCACGACGACGACUGACAACUAGGUGCGUUACGGUUGAACCAAGACAGAGACAAACAGAGAGGAGGGAGAGGGUGGGACGGGGCACCGGCAUAGCGAGUGCCGGGCCUA
rnacentral:lncRNA from 1 species